rnacentral:lncRNA from 1 species
AAAAAAAAAAAAAGAAAGAAAAAAGAGUAAAGCAAAGUAAAGCACAGUAGAAUUUACCUUGAAGAGGAGGGAACCAAAUGAAGCUGGCUGAGGCAGGUAGUUGGUUGGUUGUAUAUUAUGAUAUAAUAUAUAUAAUUCUAUGUACUGAUAAUUAGAAAGUAGCUACAAAGGUGAAACACCAUGAAGAAGAGGAAGAAAAGGAAGGACAAAUUGUCUGAGUACAAGAAACAAACAAAGAUAUCUGAAAAAUGACAAUCUGCAAUCUCAUUCUCAACCACAGGACUAGAGAAGUAGAGAUUUUGAUUUCUUCUUUCCAAUUAUUUUAUUCAGAAAUACAUGUCAUGGAUUAGUAAAUUAGAUCAAAUUUAAUUAAAUAUAUAAAUGGAAGUCUGAGGUUGGAUCACUCUGUUAGGCAACUAUCCUUUUUCUUUUCUUUUUUUCUAAGACAUUUCAAUAUUUAGUAAUCAGUUCUGUUUUUAAUUAAUAUUUAAAAAUAGAUAAUAAAUGUAGCACAUGAAGAUUUCUUAAAUCAUUUAUCAACUUAAAAAACGAAAAUUUCAUAUAAGUAAAAAUUAAUUAAUUUUACAUUAAUUUAUGUUAAUUUUAUUAAAAUUAACUAUUUUAAUAAACUACUAAGCGCAGGGAUAAAAUAUAUUACACCCUUAAUAAAAAAAUAAAAAAUUUAAAAUUUAAAAAUGACAGUAUUAAAGAGAAAUAACCGUAAACUUCCAACAUAAACAUUAAAAUUAAACUAAAACUUUUAGAAAAUAUUUUAAUAAAUUCACAAACCAAAUCACUCAUUCCCAUAUAAUUGUUUACUAAUUUACAACCAAAAAAAUAAUUGUUUACUAAAUCUUUUCAUCUACAUUUUAUCAAUAAAUAUGUAAUAUUAUUUAUUUAUUUUAUCAAUAUUUUUUUUUGAAAAUAACUAUUAGUUAAAAUUUUUUAUGUUAUUUUUUUUCCCUCACAUAAUGGAUGUUUUAUGAAUUAAUCAUAAUUAAAAAUUAAAUUAAAUUAUUAAAAUAAUAAUUUUUAUAUUUUAAUGUAUCAUAUAUUAAUUUUUAUGAAUUAAAUUCAUAAUUAAUGUCAACUAAAGAUUUAAUAUUAAGUCAUCCGUCACUUCACUUAUAGUGUAGUCGACUAACAUAUUAUAGUAUUAAUAAAAUCAUAUAAUUAGGCAUAAUGAGAGUGAUUUUUUUCAAUUUUAUUAAAAGAAACUACUUAAAAAUUAUAUAAUAUAUGAGUUUAAAAAUGUGUUAAUUUUUUAUGAAAAAAUAAUAUAAAAAAAUAAUAUAAAAAAGUUUUUUUUUCAUAUUUAAAUUUAAGAUUCAAUGUGAAUAAAGAAGCUUAAACAACAUAAGAUAUAGUACAUUAGUGAAUAAUUCGCAUUUUAAUAAAAAAAAUUAUAGUUAACAUAUAUAAUUUAUCAUGAUAAAAUAAUAAAAUAAAUAAUAUAGGAAUGUAAAAACAUUAAAUAUUAAUCAUUCUAUACUUGAAAUAAAAAACAAAUUAUUAAGAGGGAGGCCAUCGCUACAACUCUCAAGGAUAUGUACAUUUUCCCUAUGAAGGAAAACAUGUAAAAAAAAAUCAGCAGUAUUUUAUAUUGUGAUAGUGUAACUUGUGUUAAUCGCAUACAUUGUAGUUAUCUUAGAAGAAAAUUGAUGAGUAAUUAAAGAAGGGUCAAAACAGGUUCGAUGUCGGGAUAAGAGGGUCCUAAAAAUUAGGACGACGCGACAGUUUUUGGCAAUGGACGUGGCGACAACGUCGUGGCGAGGAGAGCCUACAUGUCACAAAGAUUAUUGAUGUUAUGCAGUCACGUUUUGUACAGUUUAAUAAGACUUUUUUUCCUAGUUGGACUCUAAUUAUUUCAGAAUUAUUUUAGUAUAAUUAGACCUCUAAUCUAUUUAAAGGGCCUCUGUAACUCUGAUUUAAACAUGUCAAUCAGUAAGGGUUUUUUUAGGGAGAUAAUAUCUAGUCGCGUAUGAAUUUUGGUGAAAGUUUCGUGGUAGCUAUAGAGAGAAUUUUGUUCCUGAGUUAGAAUUUUGCUUUCGAGGUUUGAGAUUGUACAUUUAGUAUUUUUAGAUUUAUUUUCUUCCUAUUAUAUUUUUGUUUGUUUACUCAUUUAGUUAAAAGCUGAUAAAUCAUUUACCCAUGAUUUUUUUCUCUUUAAUAGUUUUUUGUAUACGAUAUUUGUGUAUUUUUACUUUGUUUAUACAAGUCCAUACUCAACAUACACAUAUUAGGCUUCAAACAAUAAAUUUCAGCUUUAAAUCAACAACUAUGCAAUGCGAUAGCAAAAGGAGGUUGAGUUGAGAGUAUGAGAGCAAAUGAAGAGGAUGACACAGACACUGCCAUUGCCAUUGCCAGACAUGUAAUAAUAAUCAUACCUCUCAUUCUUCUCAGCCUGUUAUGGUUUAAAAUAGAAUUCAAUUGCAGCUCAGCUGAUAGCCCUUGGUUUAAUGAUGUUAAUAUCGUUGCUGUAAAUAUCCAUCUCACUGUUUUUGGGACAUAACAUGACAACCAUCAAGCAAGUUUGCAGUGUAAAAACCAUAACCUUUUUCACAUCGUAAAAGAUGUCUACAUCAAUCUCGAAAUGUAAGGUGAUGAUUGAGGGGGAAAUGAAGUAAAUAAUGCAGUUUCUAGGAAAAUGCUGCGUUUCUUACAUCUAAUAUGGACCAUUAUAUCUUUCUUUUUUCCCAAAGACUGUAUACUCGUACUUCUCAGGCAUUUUCCCAGGAUCCAAACAAACUGUCAUGUUAUCUGGUGAAAUGCUAAUAGAGUUAUGCUGUCUCACUCUUAAUGGCCAGAAGAAACUUCGUUUGACAUGAGUUGGUUUAAUUCUCGUUACAAAAUGCAGAUUUUUGUACAUUACGCUGUUUUUUGAAGUUACAACUUAUGAGUAUAUCAACAAUGAGAACGAUUAAUAAUCCUUGAAAAUCCUUGAAAAAUAGGAUGCCUUGAGAAAUAUAUCAACAAUGAUAAUCCUAAAAGCCGAGAGUCUAAUUUAGGAUACCUAGUAUUAAUAAAUAAGAUUAAGUUAAGUUUUUUUACUAGUAUUAGCUAUUUUUUUUUUACAUAUUAGAAAGAAAUAUUUAAUUUUAUAUAGUUUGAUUUUUUUUUCAUUUUUACAAUUAAAUCGUUCAUGCUUUUUAAAAAACAUUAAAUUGAUUUGUUUGAUAAGAAAAAAAAAGUAUCCGAAAAUAAUUGAUACUUUUUUAAGUUAAAAAAAAAUCAUUCGAAUUUAAAAUUUUCGUCUCUUGGAGUAUUAGAAUUGAGUGAUCCGAAUUCUUAUUUAAAUAAAAUUAAUGGUAAAAUAAAAUAAAAGUAAAAUCCAUAUAAAACUACACUUCCUUUAUUUUAUUUUAGAAUAAGGUUUUUUAAACCUUAUUAAACCCUAUCUAAUUGAUAUUGAUUAGAAUAAGGUGUUUCAAUUUACUACACUCCUAUUAGAAUACAAUUUUACAAGCCUAUAAAUAGACAUAGUGUACUCCUCUUGUAAUCAUUCAAAUUCAACAUAAUGAAUUUUCUUCUCCUCUGCCAGUGGUUUUUUCCAAAAGGGCUUUCACGUAAAAAUUUGCGUGUUGCUUUUUUUUUCUUUCUCUUUUCUUUGUGAUAUAUUGUUAUUACAGACAUUCUAUUUUUUUACAAAUUGGUAUCUGGAUGGGUUGUUCAUCUCAAUCACAAUAAUGAUGUCUUUGAAGUAUGAAAUUCCGCUGUUGGAUCACAACACUAGAUUUGCGUUGUGGCAAAUUAAGAUGCAAGCAGUUCUUGUGUAGAUGGAUCUGGUGUGUAACAUCCUUAUCCCGUAACCGUCGCCAGAAUAGGAGGAGACGUUACCAGAAAUUAGGAAUCGUAUCAGAACAAUAAAAUUUUGAACCUUUUCUUAAAUAAAAGAUCAUUUAUUUAUAUAACUAAUAGACACAAACAAAGAUCGAAUUUAAAACUUCCAUAAGAUGCCAUAUUCGCAUGGCUUAUAUAUAAUAGUCAAAAUAUCAUUCUACUUAUAGUCUAUCCUAUACAUGCCAUAAGCUAAGUCCAAAUCACAUUACCACAAUAGUAGAUAGUGUGAUGAAGUGCUGACGAUCCUCGAGCUAAUAGUAAGAGUCAACGAUCUACAAAAAUAAAUAGAGAAACAUAACAUUAAAAGUAAGCUUUCAUAAGCUUAGUAAGUCUUAAGCAAUUUAAACAGUUGAACUUAAAAAAAAACAAACUAAAUGUUCGAAAUCACAUAACACUUUCUGAGUACAAUACUAUUUGGCCGAUUAUGCAUAAACACAUAUCAUUUUACUCCGUUUAUACUCAAACUCAUAUAAACAUAGUAUUUACAAGCUUCCAGAUUAACUUUAAUUCUUUCAAAUUUCACUAGUGUAUCAUUUCUUACCCACACUUACUUUCAACAUUCAUAGUUAAAUGGCAUAUCGAAAACUAUCUUGUAACUUUGCAUAAUAACUGAAUGCACACAUAUACAAAUAUACAUAUGAAUUUACAACAUCUUUUCAUAUGCUUCUCAUUACACAUUCUUAAUUCCCGUCAGAUCAAUCUCACAUAUAUAAUAUAUAUAUCACAUACCUGAAUCACUUAAUGUGUAAUACGAGUUCAAUUUAUCAUCUUAGCAUAGGAUCUCGUAGUCAUAUACUUUAUCAAAUUCACUAGCACUUGGCCUGCGAGGUAUAAAACCCGAACAUAACACCAGCACGAAGCCUACGGGACUUUAAACCCGGAUACAAUCUCAGCACAAUUUAUUUUAUAUACUUUUUACUAACUUUGGCCUCAUCAAAUAUCUAAUAAUACACACUUUUCACAAUUGGUCAUUCGGCCACAUUAUAUACACAUAAACAUACAUACAUUUCACACUUGCCCAUUCGGUCACACCACAUACACAAGCACAUAUAUAAGAUAAUGCUUUUAUCAUUACUUGCUAAUACAUCAUAUACUUUGCUUUCAUUUAAAUAACCACUCAGCCAUAUUACAUUUCUAAGUAACCAUUCGGCCUCACUAUACAAAUAAGAUAGCACACAUUUUCAUAAAGGCCAUUCAAAUAACUUGCACACAUUUAAUAUUAGCCAUUUCGAUCUCACCAUAUACAUAUCUUGUACAUCAAUUUCAUCAUAUCAAAAUCGACUAGGUAUACUAGUCAUUCAUGGCUUAUAGCCUCAUUUUAAUAUGGAUUCGGUACUUUGAUUACCAAUAUUUAAUCAAACAUGUUCUUAAUUACAAUUAUUUAACAUUUUAUUUUACAUUCGGCAAUGACAUGUUCAUCUCCAAUAAUUCAAUACUUAUAAACUUAUAAUUUCAUAAAUUUUAACAUCAAAGAUCCAUCUAACACUCAUAUAUCAUUUCCUAACGUCACAAUUCAAAAUUCACGUAUGGUUUUAAUCAACAUCUUAUAAGCAACUCAAACAGUUUUAUCAAUGUUUACAACAUAAUCACAAAUUCACUACAAGCUGUCUUCCUGAGCAACAAUCAUUAAAUUAUUUGAAACUGGAGCUACAAAACUCCAAAUCAAGUGCCGUUAAUUUUCCCUAGAAAUAGACUCAUCAAGCUUUAAUUACAUAAUUUAUUAAGCCUUUAACUCAACUCUAACAAUUCCUGGUGAUUUUCUAAAAUCACGUUAUUGCUACUGUCCCAAGCAAAUCUAUUACAAUUUACUCUUAAAUUUCCAAAAGUUCAAACACUUCAAUUUCCCUUCUUCAGUUUCCUAAUCACAUUAAUAGUUUCACUUACUUUGUAACAUUAAUCCACAAUUCAUCUCAUAAUUCAUUCGGUAAUUUCAUCACAUAAUUUAUUAAAAUACCAUUUCCUUAUAUUGAUUUCAAAUACAUUCAAGAAUUUAAAGCAUAAUUUCAUAACCAAAUGUAUUCACUAUUCGACAUUUACAAGAAAUUCAUAGUAUUUUAUUCACGUCUUAACUCAUGAUGCUUUCGGUUAUUCCAUCUUAUCUCAUGUAUUCAAAAUACCAUUCACACAUAUUAGUUCAUAAGACAUUUGGCUAUCACACAUAGUCCUCACUAAAUUCAUACUCAUUCUAUUUACCAUUACUUAACUGAAACACAAAGAUCAUAUAUCAUUCUCUAAAACUCUUUUAGCAUAUACCUCAUUUCCAUACACAAUUCAAUCGAGUAAGCUAUCCAUUUUCGGCUCAUAUUAUGAACAUUAUUAAUCAUUCGAAAAUAUAUAUUUAUAUAUCACAUAUACUAAAACUUUAUUCUAUAUUCAUUUAAUCUUUAAACACAUAAAUUCAACUUAAUUGUUUAAGAGCUUACCUCAAAAGUUAUCGUACGGCUAUAUCGACUAUACGACUACCUUCGUUUUUUCCUCGAUCCGAGUUUGUCCCCUUAAGCUCUCGAUGCUCAAUCAACAAUUUUAACUACUCAAUUUACAAAUGGCAAUGUCAUUACUUUACAUAACAGAAAUUAAAUUUCAUUACUUAAACUAUCCACGACAAUCACCUUCCGAGCACCUUAAUUUUCUUUAAGCUAAACCGCCUCAUAGCAUACAUAUACACAUUAAAACAAAAUCAGCACUCAUAAUCGAAUCAUUAACUAAAAUCACAUUGGUAAUAUGCUUAAAUAAUCUUCAAUAUUUAAUAACAUCUAAAACUAAUUUGCUUGAGGUGCCAUGAAUUAUUCAAAUUAGCCGAAUAUCAUUGAAUUUCUAAAAUCAUGCUUAUAACCACUUGGACGAAUUUCACAUAUCAAAGCCAUUUAUAUAUAUUAUUCAAAGUAUUUAACAACACUUAAAAGUCCAAAACCGAAUGCUUAUCUUACCACCAACAUGCAUAUUUAAUUAUCUCAAGCCUCUCUUAAUCAAUUUUAUUCAUAAUAGCAUGAACUUAACAAUCCAUUACUCAUACAAAACAAACAUAACCGAAAAUCCCUUCAUGAACUAAUCACUCACAUGUAACAUACUUUUCAAAAACAAGCUCAUAAACAUAUGAAUUUUGGUAUCAAAUUGUCCAUUGAACAUUCGUUUACUAUCUUCUAUCCUCAACUCAAAUUUCCUCACUCAUUUUCACUAAGGUCGAAUCUAAAAUGCCUCAUAAACUAAAUUUAUCAAGUGGGUUUCGGCUAGAAAAAGAAGAGAAACACAAAUUCAUUAACAAUUUACAAAACCACAUCAAAUUACCUUAAAAUUCGCCUCCAAUUGACCAAACGGUCCCAAAACCAUCCUUCACUCUUCUUCUUUUUAUGAAUUUCAGCUAGGUGAAGAGACAAAGAUGAGUUCUUAUUUUCUUCACCAAAUUCUUAUUUUAUUUUUAUCAAUAAACUAUAUAAUAAUGACUAUAUCAAUAAACUACUUAAAAAAAAUAUCUAUUCAUUAUUAUACAUAUAAAAUAUGCUUAUUUUGCUCACCAAAACCAUCAUGGCCUGCCACUAACAUUAAAAGUGGCAAAUUGACAUGCAAACCCACUUAUUUGCAUCAUUCAAUAAUUAAUCAUUUAAAAUAAGCCACACAUAUAUUCAAAACUUCUCACAUAAGUCCUUUUUAUUUAGAAACACAUUCAAAUUGACAAAAAUCAAAGCAUUCAAAUUUCACACAUGCAUGAUCACAUAUUUUAGACAUAAAAUAUUAUAUUCAAUUAUUUCUGCGACUCGGUUUAGCGGUCCCGAAACCACUUCCCGACUAGGGUCAGAAUAGGGCUGUCACAUGGUGGAUGCCUUGCUAGGGAUAGAUAAGAUGUCUUUGACAUUGACGGAGGAAGAGAAGAAGCGUAAGGAUUGAAAGGUGUUAACACAGUUACAUCUACAUUUGUCUAGCAAAAUUUUGCAGGAUGUGAUAAAGGAGAAAACCGCCGCUGCAUUAUGGAAGAAGCUGGAACAAAUAUGUAUGUCAAAAAAUCUAACCAGCAAGUUGCAUAUAAAGUAGCGUCUUUAUGCUCAUCGUUUGGAGGAAGGUGCGUCUGUACACGGCACUUAACAACGUUUAAAAUUUUUUUCUCAAACUUGGAGGCCAUGGAGGUUCAACAUGAUAAAGAAGAUCUAUGGUUGAUUCUAUUUUGUUCGUUGCCCUCGUCUUAUUCAACCUUUAGAGACACGAUUUUAUAAGCCGCUAGUCUCUCACAGUUGAUGAGGUUUAUGAUUCUUUGACCUCGUAUGAUAAGAUGAAUCAUCUUGUGGUUAAACCCGACUCUCAGGGAGAGGGUCUCAUUGUUCAUAGGAGAUAAUAUCGAAAUGCUGAUAAUGAUCGUGGAAGGACACAGGAACGAAAUCCUCGCAGUAAAUCUAAAGGUAGAUCGAAGUAUUCAAACAAAGGUAAAACAUGUAACUUUCUACAAGAAGAAAAGACACAUUAAAUCUGAGUAUUAUAAGCUACAGAACAAUAUCAAAAGAGAGGCUAAGAAUCAAAAGGGAAAACAACAAGAAAAAUCUGGUGGAGUUGAUGUUGUAGAAGACUACUACGAUGGUAAACUUCUAGUUGCUUCUGUCAACAAUUCUAAAGUGAGCUAGGACUGGAUCCUUGAUUCGGGCUACACCUUUCAUAUGAGUCCCAAUUGGGAUUGGUUUACCACUUACGAAACAGUGUUUGAAUGUGUUGUUUUGAUGGGAAAUAAUGCUUUGUGUAAAAUUGUUGGUGUUAGAACGAUUAAAGUUAAGAUGUUUGAUGAAGUUGUCAGAACACUUAGUGACGUGCGACAUGUUCCAGAAUUGAAGAAAAAUUUAAUUUCGUUGAGUACUCUUGAUUCAAAAGGGUACAAAUACACAGUUGAAAGUGGGGUUUUGAAGAUUUCCAAAGGUUCCCUCGUUGUGAUGAAAAGGCAGAGAAAGACUGUCAAGUUAUAUGUUUUGCAGGGUUCUACUGUUACUAGUGAUGCAGUUGUCACUUCCUCUUCCUUGUCAGAUGAUGAUAUUACUAAACUUUGGCAUAUGUGCCUAAGGCAUAUGAGUAAGAAUGGCAUGGUAGAAUUGAGCAAAAUAGGACUUCUAGAUGGGUAAGGAAUUUGCAAACUGAAGUUCUAUGAGCGCUGUGUUUUUGGAAAGCAAAAAAGAGUUUGAUUCACCAAAAGAAUCCAUAACGCGAAGGAAACAUUGGAGUAUAUUCAUUCUGAUCUAUGUGUGUAACAGCCUAAUAUUCAGUGGUGUCGGAAUAAUGAAUCGAGAUCACUAAAUCCAAAAAAUGAGUAGGAAAUAUUAUUAAUUUGGUGAGUAUAAUUUAAAUGUGAAGUUAGGAAAAAUUUUGAAAUAGUGAAUAGUGUACUAAAAAUAUAUAUUAAAAUAAUUAGAAUUGAAAACGAGGUAUCGAGACCUCGAGAAUUUUAAAUCGAGCCAUAAAUAUUUUUAUAAAUAUUUAUGGAGUGUUAAUAAGUUAGUAUUAAAGUUUCGUCAAGAAAUUUAAAGUACUGAUAGCUAAUUGAACAAAAAGGACUAAAUUGUAUCAAAUACAAAAUUGUGGGAAAUGAUUAAAUAGCUUAAAUGAUAAAAGAAAGAGGGUUUAAAAGGCAAAUAGACCCAAGGUCUAUUUGGGCUGGACGACAAGGGCAUGAAAUCAGCAAAAAAAUAAGGAGAAUUAAGGGAAAAAUUGGAAAAUUGCAAAAUUUACUUAAUAAAGCUAGGACUAAAGUGGAAUUAUCUAGAUUUCUCUUUAUUUUUCUGCAUUCUCAUCAGCAAAGACACUAUGGAAGAAUUCCCUUAAGCUGGUUUUUCAUAUUUUUAUUGCAAGUAAGUUCAAUUCUUGCUUAUUUCUUGAAAUUUUUGUGUUUUUGUGACUUUUACAACUAGGUCCACUUGUUGAAUUCAUUAGUUUUUGAUUCUAUGAAAGAAAUUGAAAGUUACUAUGAAUAUGUUCUGGAAGUAUAUGAUGAUUUGGCAUGGAAUUAGAGCUUUAAAUUGUUUAUAUGCUGAUUUUAUUAAAAGAAUUGAAUAGAAAGUGAAUUUUUGGGACCUAAAUUGUAAAAGAGCUUGAAGUUAGAGUUUUAUGUGGAAAUUCUGAAUUUCAAUAGUUAUUAAAUAACUUAUAAUGUCUAGGAAAAGUAUUAAUUAAUAAAAUUAGCUUAAUUGAGGGGUUAAUUGAGCAAGGACUGAAUUGUAUGAACUGUGAAAUUUGGGGCAAAAUGAAAAUCAACAUUUUGCACUAAAACAUUUUUGGACAGCAACAAUAGUCUAACUUUGAAAAAUCAUAAAAAAAUUUUAGAAAUCGAAUUAGAGGAUGAAUAAAAUAUGAAAUUAAAGCUUAUUGAGUCUAGUUUCUUAUAGAAGAAAUGGUGUAAGCAAUGGAAUUGUAAAUCAUGAGAUAUAAUAAUUUUUGUGAUACAAUGUCAGAAUGAUUUCGGGUUCUCCUGUUCUGACUUUGGAAACUCAUAAAAAAUUGGAGAAAAAUAAUUAAAGGAUUAAAUUUAUAUGUUUAAAAUCCUUAAUGAGUUUAUUUUCAAUAGAAAUAAGCACGAACAUCAUCCAAAUCUCGAAUGAUGAGAUAAUUAAUUCUUAGUGAAGAAGGGUCGGACCGUCAAACAGCAAAACAGGGGUAACUUUAAAGAAUAGGCUAAACCAAAAAUUCUAAAAAUUUUAUGGUAAUAAGAUAUGUAAGUCUAGUUUCAAGGAAAAUUAGCGGAUCUUAAUUUCGACUUCUGUAGCUUAAGAUAUAAAUAAUUUAGUGACUAUGACGCAAAUGGACAGUUUUGAAUAUACAUAUAAGUAAAUAGUGAAAUUAUUGAUAAUGUUACUUGUGGCAUGUUAUACAAAUUAAGGAUGUGGAAUGGAGAGGAGGAGGUGGAAAAUAUGUAUGAAUAUUCAGCUAGCAUGGCUAAUUUGCAUGUUUUAGGCUCAUGGACUAAAUUGAAUAAAAGUAAAAUUUUAUGGGUAAUUUUGUAAAAAUGUUAGAAAUGACCAAUUUUCAUGAAAUGGAAUAUUUUAUUAUUUAAAAUUACAAAAUUGAAUGAAAUUAUUAAUUUAGUUCAAGAUCAGGAAAAAACAUGUUUUUAGGAUUAAAUUGAAAAGUGUUGAAAUUAUGAAAAAUUCUGAUAUUUUAUAGAAUUCAUGGGUUGUUAUCAAUUUGUUUGAGAAUAACGACUGGAAAUAAGGAUUAAAUUGCAAGAAUUUUAUUUUAUUUUAACCUAAGGAUGAAACCGUCAUUAAUUAAAAGUUUAGGGAUAAAGUGGUAAUUUUAUUUAGAGCAUUAGUUGAAUGUAUUACAACAUGAAAUAAAUGACAACGACGAUUAAAUUUCUUUAUAAAGAUUCGGGAUGACUCGAAUACGAGACUUGAAUGUGGAAAAGAAAAGAUAUCGGAUUAAUGAAAUUAUAAACAUGUGCAAGCAACGAGGUAAGUUAGUGUAACCUGAAUUGUAUUUUUAAAUGCAUGAAAUAUCGAUAUAAUGAAUUACCUGAUUUAUGUUUAUGAAGAAAUGGAAAGAGAAUGAUAUUUAUCAUGAUAUGUAAAUAGGUGAUUAUUUUUGAUACGUUGAUCAAGGAAAUUAAUUAAAUUGAGACGAGUAAUAAAUUCAAGUAAAACAUAUCGAGAAAAAUAAGUACGUUAAGGGACAAUAUGUUUGAUUUUAAUUGGUUCCAAAUAUGAACGUUAGAUGAAAUGAAAUAUCUGAUAAAUAAAUCGGUAACUCCGGUAAUGCUCCAUAACUCUAUUCUGGUGAUGAAUUCGGGUUAGGGGCGUUACAUUUAGUGGUAUCAGAGCUAAGGUUUAGUCGGUUCUCGGACCGAAGUAGUACAUAUGAAGUCUAGAAAUACAUGUCAUUAUAUAACUUAUGAUAACAUGAUAUCUUCCGACUCUGAUGAGGUUUGUAUCACUAUAAUUCAAUCUUUAUCAUUAUUAUGUGUUUAAUUUACUAAUUAUGUGUGGUAAGUAUUCAAGGUAAGUAUUUAGUAAAAUGAUAAAUUUAUGAUUGGAUACUAAAAUUGAGACUGAUACUGAAUUGAAUUAUGGAAUACUGAAUAUUACUUUGAAUACUGAAUUGAAUUGUGAAGUUACUGAUUGUUAUGUGUACUACAUUGAACUGUGAAAUUACUGAAGUAAUGAAUUAUUGCAAUACUGUGAAACUGAUUGAAAUAAGGAAUUAUAAUUGAUACUGAACUGAGAUGGAAAUUGUACUGAAAAGUGAAUUAAAUACCCUAUUAACUAGUCGGACUGAGUCGGAUAUAAUUGGCAUGCCAUAGGAUUUGGAAGUGUUUAGGCACUGAGUGCCAUACUGGUGUGUUUGGUUGGAAUCCACAUAUCCGCCAAAGUCCGAGUCUUGUUAAUAGGGGUAAAUAUGAAUAUUAAGUAAAAUUAAAAUAAGAAUUAAAUUCCUUAUUAACUUGUCGGGCUAGUCGGAUAUAAUUGGCAUACCAUAGGAUUAGAAGAGUACGGGAUUUAUCGGCUUUACCGAUCAGGCACUUUAUGUGCCGUAUUUUAGGCACUUAUGUGCUGGUUACUGUUACUGCUACUGUUACUGUUACCGAUUCGACACUUUGUGUGUCGAAUAUUGUUACUGUUACCGUUAUCGAUUCGGCACCCUGUGUGUCGAAUAUUGUUACUGUUACCGUUACCGAUUCUGCACUUUGUGUGUCGGAUAUUGUUACCGUACUGUUACUGUUUCGGAUUUGUUGUGAAGAGGUACUUUGUACCUUACUGUUAUUGUUACUGUUUCGGAUUUGUUCCAAUGAGAUACUCUAUGUACCAUACUGUUACUGUUCCGGCUUCAGCCGAUGAGGCGCUAUGUGCCGUACUGGUGUGUUUGGGUUGGAAUCCGUGUAUCCGUCAAAGUUCGGAUUGUUAAUAGGGUGAAUAACUGAAAUAAGAAAAUUAAAUAAAUUUGAUUGCUCGUUCUAUUAAAAAAAUAUAUAUGAGAAAGAAAUUAUGAGUUGAAUUCUCAAUUGAAUUGAAAUGUGAGAUUUGGAGCUUGAACUUAAGGUUCAUGAAUUUGCUAAAAUAUCGAAUUAUUGAUAUUGAAAUCAAUUAAAUAAAUGAAAUGAGAAAAUCGAAUGAAUUUGAUCGGUUGAACUCUUGAAAGUAUAAAAAAAUGGAAUUAAGAAUUAAAAUGUGAAUUGAAAUUGAGAUAUGAGAUUGAAAGCUUGAACCAAAGGUUCAUGAAUUGAUUAAAGAUAAUAUAGAUGAUAUAUGAUGCCAUUUGAUGAAAGACUAUUGUCGAGAUAUGAAAUUAAAGCAUAAUUAACACAUAUGACUUAUAUUGUUAGAUGUUUGAUGUCUAUUAUUUAUUAUAGUUUUUUAUAAUUUGAAUUAUGUUAAUACCACUGAGUAUAAACAUACUCAACGUACGGUUGUAUUACUAUAAUUCAAAUUAUUUAUUAUUAAAUGUUAAAUGUUAAAUUAUGUAUAUGGUAAGAGAAAUAUGAGUUAGUGAUAUUGAGAUAUUUGAAAUGUGUUUAUGAUGAGAAGGAACUUAGAAAGGUAUGAAUGGAAGUUCAUGAUAUGUAUGUGAUAAUGUACGAAAUGAGAUAAUCAAUAGUUGAGAAAUGAUGAAAUGUGAAUGAAAUGAAAGUUUAUAUUGUGAUAAGCUUAUCUAUGUUUGUGUGGCAUUCAUAUGAUAUUAUGUGUCUGACUUGUUUAGUUAAGUAAAUGCUAUGAGUAAAUUUACUCAAAAUUCAUGGAAUGUAUGUUUAAGUACACUAGCUUGAAAUUGAUAAUUGAAAAGUUCGUGUAACAUAAUUAUGUAUGUUAAUUUGUUUGAAGUGAAUUAUGUAAUUGUGAUGAUAUGAUGUUGAUGAUAAACGCUAAGUUAUAUGUGUGUAUUUAUGAGAGCACAGUUAGAGGAUUUACGACCUCACCCUCUUACCAAUGUAGUAUUUUAUAAUGAAAAUUUACAAAAAAAAAUAUGUAUGAAUAAGUUCACAAAUGUGAAACUAAAGAGUACAGUAAUGGAAUAAUUAAUAAUGCAGACGGAGUUGAAAAUAGUUUGACAAGUGAAUACAGUUUUGAAAAAAGAUAUCAGAUUAUUCUAAAGAUCAUUCAGAUUACGUAAUGUCACGGUUAAAGAAAAAGUUAACCUCGGCUAGUCGACUUAUUCAGAUAUGAUGUCUGAAGUAUGUGUUUGCUAAAAUUUUUCGGAAUUGGUUUUCGUUAGUGAAUGGAAUGAUGCAGGGUUUAUGAUGACAGGAUUAGUCAGAAAAAUGAUAAUUGAGUAGUAAAGAUGUUUGUGUGUGAUAGUUACAGUUGAAACGAAUAUGAUCAUCUUUUCUGGGUAUUCUAUAUAUUUUUUUAUCCUCAGAGAUAUGUGUGUGGUUGUUCAGUCUCUGGUGGAGUUCUGAUAUUUUGAGAAUGCUAGUUAAUUAUGAUGUUAGACGGAAGCCCUAUUGGUCUGGUCGGUUUAUGAUCGUCAUUUCUUCAUCUUUUUAGAAUUCUAUUUUAAUAUGUUGGAAAUGAAGUUAAUGGUAAAAUUUUAUGUGAGACUAUCCUUAUGUUUCUACUGAUUAUGAUUUUGUUUUAUACAUGCGGGAAAUAUAUUAUCUCUAUUAUGAUGGAAGUCCAGAGUCGGUAAGCAGUGUUUUUCUUUUGGCUUUCUUUGAGAAAUUGUCAAGAUCUUUAUUAUCUUCUUGUGAGUUAGAUGUACUCGUGAUUGCACGAGCGUUAUGUAAUAUUUUUGAGUUCAUAUUCAGAUGUCUAUUUGUUAGUAAGUAAGCCGAACAUUAAGAACAUUUAGAAUUAUUGCAGUCAGUGAUAAUACUAGUGUGUUAUGAGAUAGAAUGACUAUAGAUUUCGAAUUGGGAUUGUCAUUAACAUCGGAAAAGAAAAUGUUAUUUAGUUUAUGGUUGUUCAUUUGACAAAGAAAGAUCUGUAUGAUCAUUUCAGUAGGUACAGAGUUUUCAUUUGACAGAUCAGCUGAGUAUAUGUGUCCCUGAGAGGGUAAUUUAGAAUUUUGACAAUAUGUUCCAACAUUGUGUUCUAGAGUUCAAAGGUGACUGGAAAAAGAUAUUCGAGGUUAAAUCAACAUUGUGAUUCUGAGUAGUAAAAGUGUUUUAUGAGUGUUGAAAGAAACUUCUUCUGGUAAGAUUUUCGGGGACGAAAAUCCCUAAAAGGGAGAGAGUUGUAACAGUCUAAUAUUCAGUGGUGUCGGAACAGUGAUUCGAGAUCACUAAAUCCGAAAAAUGAGUAGGAAAUAUUAUUAAUUUAGUGAGUAUAAUUUAAAUGUGAAGUUAGGAAAAAUUUUGAAAAUAGUGAAUAGUGUACUAAAAUAUAUAUAUUAAAAUAAUUAAAAUAAAAAACGAGGUAUCGAGACCUUGAGAAUUUUAAAUCAAGCCAUAAAUAUUUAUAAAAAUAUUUAUCGAGUGUUAAUAAGUUAGUAUUAAAGUUUCGUCAAGAAAUUUUAAAGUACUGAUAGCUAAUUGAACAAAAAUGACUAAAUUGUAUCAAAUGCAAAAUUGUGGGAAAUGAUUAAAUAGCUUAAAUGAUAAAAGAAAGAGGGUUUAAAAGGCAAAUAGACCCAAGGUCUAUUUGGGCUGGAUGGCAAGGGCAUGAAAUCAGCAAGAAAAUAAGGAGAAUUAAGGGAAAAAUUGCAAAAUUGCAAAAUUUACUUAAUAAAGCUAGGACUAAAGUGGAAUUAUCUAGAUUUCUCUUUAUUUUUAUGCAUUCUCAUCAGCAAAGACACCAUGAAAGAAUUCCCUUAAGCUGGUUUUUCAUAUUUUUAUUGCAAGUAAGUUCAAUUCUUGCUUAUUUCUUGAAAUUUUUGUGUUUUUGUGACUUUUACAACUAGGUCCACUUGUUGAAUUCAUUAGUUUUUGAUUCUAUGAAAGAAAUUGAAAGUUACUAUGAAUAUGUUCUGGAAGUAUAUGAUGAUUUGGCAUGGAAUUAGAGCUUUAAAUUGUUUAUAUGCUGAUUUUAUUGAAAGAAUUGAAUAGAAAGUGAAUUUUUGGGACCUAAAUUGUAAAAGAGUUUGAAGUUAGAGUUUUAUGUGGAAAUUCUGAAUUUCAAUAGUUAUUAAAUAACUUAUAAUGUAUAGGAAAAGUAUUAAUUAAUAAAAUUAGCUUAAUUGAGGGGUUAAUUGAGUAAGGAUUGAAUUGUAUGAACUGUGAAAUUUGGGGCAAAAUGAAAAUCAACAUUUUGCACUAAAACAUUUUUGGACAGCAACAAUAGUCUAACUUUGAAAAAUCAUAAAAAAUUUUAGAAAUCGAAUUAGAGGAUGAAUAAAAUAUGAAAUUAAAGCUUAUUGAGUCUAGUUUCUCAUAGAAGAAACGGUGUAAGCAAUGGAAUUGUAAAUCAUGAGAUAUAAUAAGUUUUGUGAUACAAUGUCAAAAUGAUUUCGGGUUCCCCUGUUCUUACUUUGGAAAAUCAUCAAAAAUUGGAGAAAAAUAAUUAAAGGAUUAAAUUUAUAUUUUUAAAAUCUUUAAUGAGUCUAUUUUCAAUAGAAAUAAACAGAAACAUCAUCUGAAUCUCGUACGAUGAGAUAAUUAAUUCUUAGUGAAGAAGGGUUAGAACUGUCAAAUAGCAAAACAGGGGUAACUUUAAAGAAUAAAUUGUACUUAUUGGCUAAACCUGUAACACCCCUCGCCCGUAUCCCUCACCGGAAAAGGGUUCGAGGUGUUAACCGACUUAAACUCAGUCAAUCACACAAAAACCCUGCCGAAAAAUUUCAAUCUAUUUAAAACCUUUCUUUUCACAUGUAAUCUGUCCCAUAUAUGGGCUUACAAGGCCCAAAACAUCACUAGCCAACAUAAGCCAAUUUACAUAGCCAAAACACUUUAUCAAUACAAGCCACCAACUUUGGCUAACUUAUAGUAUCACAUACUCAAGAUUUAAAACCCUAUACAUGCCAUAGACUCGAAAUACUAGGAUUUACUUACACCAAUAGCGUGAGCUCGACAGUGUGAUAAUAUCUCCGACGAACUCCAACCCGAGCAAGUAACUGGAGCCAACAAUCUAUAAAACAAAGGAAUGUAACAACGGAGUAAGCUUUCAUAAGCUUAGUAAGUUUUAAGCAAUGCAAACAAAUAAACGCAAUUAUACUUCGAUUAUUCAAUUUCUCAAGAGGCCAUAUUCUAGGUAUAUUGCCAUCUGGUUGAAUACAUACAAACACAUAAUGCACGUUCAGCAUUCUUAUCACACUUAAUCUGAAUUCGUAUAACAUAAUUAAAUCAAAUACUUUCACAUACUUUCACACCCUGACCCGAUGUAUCAUGAUCAUAGAUAUAUUUAUAACAUUUAUUCACGUAUGUAUCACAUUACAUACUUAUGAUUCACUUCAAAUCAAACUCACAUAUGAGUACAUAAUGUGUACCUGGCCCACUUAACAUAUUGAAUGUAUUCAUUUGUCAAUCUAAUACGAGGUACCUUAGUCUUAGAUUUUUCUCAAAUCACCGGCAUUUCGCCUGCUAGGCUCGAGGCCUGAUUAUCAUUUCACCGGCAUUAUAGCCUGCUAGGCUCAAAGGCCCGAAUAAUCAAAUCAACAAGUUCCAUAUAACAUAUUCAUAUCAAUUAAGUACUAACAUCAUUCGAACGUAUAUAAUUAUACAUCUCAAACACUUUUCUUUCAUCUCAUUUUCACAUUUAGCAUUUGAUAGCUUAUGCAUAACAUUUCACUCACAUUCAUUUCAAACUUAUCAUUCGAUUAUAAAAGCACAUUGCAUAUUUACCAACAUGAUUAUUCUUGCCAUUAGGCCACAUAUAUAAGCAUGAUACAAUACACUAUCAUUUCAUCUUUAACAUUCGGCUAAACCCUUAUCUUACAAGGAACACCGAAUUCACAUAACAUAUCAUUUCACCGGCAUUACGCCUGCUAGGCAUGAAGGCCCGAAUACACAUCACUGGCACGAAGCCUGCUAGGCACAAAGGCCCGAAUACACAUCAUCGGCACGAAGCCUGCUAGGCACGAAGGCCCGAAUACACAUCAUCGGCACGAAGCCUGCUAGGCACGAAGGCCCAAAUAUAAUACCAGCACUAGGCCUGCGGGAUUUAACCCGGAUAUAUUACCAGCACGAAGCCUGCGGGAUUUAACCCGGAUAUAUUACCAGAUUUAACCCGGAUAUAUUACCAGCACAAAGCCUGCGGGAUUUAACCCGGAUAUAUUACCAGCACGAAGCCUGUAGGAUUUAACUCGGAUAUAAUUCCAGCAUAUAGCCUUCGGGUCUUUAGGCCCGGAUAGACAUCAAAUAUCAUGCAUAUUUAAUCAUAUAUUAACACAUCUCAUUCAACAUAUCACAUUAGUAGUCAUUUGCAACACUCGAAUAUAAGCUCCAUAUGAACACCAUCAUUUACAUUUCGGUUCAAAAGUCUUACAUAAAUAUCACAUAUCCAUUUCACCAUUCAAACUUAACCCAUAGUGACCAUUCGACUAUAAGUCAUAUACAUAAAUUAUUUAUUGCACAACUUAAUUCAAGUAGAACCAAAAGGUCACGAUUCACCUAAUAUAUACCCAUUGCUCACUGAUUCGUACACAACCUUUCAAAUUAGCAAUUAUAAGAUGGUUCCGCACAUAGCCCAUCCUUAUCGAUAAUUUACGAUGGUUUUACCAUUACUCACAUAUAUGUCAUAGGCAUUUUUACCUAUGCUUCUCAAUUCACAUUCAUGAUUCAAUUCCAAUCGAUUUAACAUGCAUAAGUACAUAUCACAUACCUGAAUAAUUUACUUUACGGAAUGAAUCCAUGUAUCGUAUUAGCCCAUAGUCUUAUAGCACCACACUUUUAAUAGUUUACCUCGUCGAAGUUCACAUUUAAUCACUUUAGUGCCAAGCCAUAUUUGGCUACCACAAAGGACUAAUAAUAAUAAUUUUAUACACAUCAUGGUUUCCAUUAGGUAUUUAAUAAUCACAACUCGUGAUAUCUCCACCAGCACAUAUACGGCAUAGUUUAUUCAUUGUAACACUCAUUUAGUGCAUCAAAUUUCCAAAUCCAAUUCAACUUAAGCAUAAUAGCCAUAAUUGGCUUAUAGCCUUAAAUCAUUACAUAUUCGGCACAUUAACUAAAUAAAAUUUACAUUCACUUUUCCAUAUUAAUUUAACUCUUGGGCAUGUAAAAAGGAAUCAAGCUUAAACACUUAAGAACUUACCUUGAAUGUUGCAGAACGAUUACAACGGCUAUUCUAUUACUUUCUCUUUUCCCUUAUCCGAAUUUUGCCCCUCUAUGCUCUUGAGCUUAAAUUCAAAGAUUUUAAACUAGUCAUUAUUCGAUUAUUCGAGCAUCACUUUCAAAAUAUAAUAUAUAUAUUCAACUUUCACACCUACUGAUCAUAGUAACCUUAUAAGAAAUCAAUAAGCAACUCAUUAACAAUUUUUUGUCAAUGUUUACCACAUAAUCAUAAUUUCACUGCAAGCUGUCUUCCUGAGAAACAGUCACUAAAUCAUUUAUAACUGGAGCUACGAAACUCCAAAUCAAGUGUCGUUAAUUUUCCAUAAAAAUAGACUCAUAUAUAUUUUAUCCAUAAAAUUUUCCGAAUUUUUGGUUUGGCCAAUCAAUACCAGAUUUUUCUUAAAGUUUCCCCUGUUUCACUGUCUGACUAAUCUGACCACUCCUCACUACGAAUCAAUUUUUUCAUUGUACAGAAUUCAAAAUAUGUUCUUGUUUAUUUCUUUUAAAACUAGACUCAUUAAGGAGUCUAAGAAUAUAAACUUCAUCUUAUGACCGUUUUUGUGCAAUUUAUAAUGAUUUUAUAAAAAUAGAACAGAGGAUCUAGAAGUCAUUCUGACCCUGUCCCACAUCACUUCAAAUAUCUCAUUAUCGGUAAUUAUUUUGCUUACAUGGUUUCUUUUAUAAGAAACUACACUCAUUAAGAUUUAAUUACAUAAUUUAUUAUGCUUCUAAAUCAUAUCCCACAAUUUAUGGUGAUUUUCCAAAAUCACGUUACUGUUGCUGUCCCAAGCAGAUUUAUUACCAAAUCACUCUUUCACACAUAUAUACCUUGCAUGCAUGUUAUUUAAACAUGCAUAUCACAAAUCAAUCAUCACAUACCUAUAACUUCACUUAAGAAUAAUCUCCAUUUCAUCAUUUUAAAGCACAAACAUUACUCAAUAUUAUCCAAGUUCACAUUCGGCCAUAAUACACACAACAUGUUAGCCGAUUUUCCCCCUUAGCAUCUAAGGCACAUGCAUACUCAUUUGGUUGGCUCAACUUCACCUAUCUUCCAUUAUUCAUCAAAAGAACAUGAAACAACAACCAUUUCCCUCAUUUCAAUUCAUGACCAAAUGUUCACAACACAACCAAAAAUAAAAAAUAUGCUUCAUGAGUUAAGGUAGAAUCAAGAAGAACUCAUGAACAUCAAGAUAGAAGUAAAAUACCAUGAACUUACCUUGGAUUUUUCUUCCCCUAGUGACCAAAUUUUUCAAGAGCUUUUCCCCUCUUGCUCUCCUCUUUUCAGCUAUGAAGAACAAGGACGAACAAAAAACCUUGUCCUUUACUUCCUUUUGUUAUUUUAUUACUAACAUUUUAUGACACAAAAUAACAUAUAUUAUUUGUGCCAUACUUAUGCCAUAAUUUCAAUAAAAAAAAUUGCACAAAUGCUUAUCAUGCCCAUCAUGGCUGGCCACUACGUUUUAAGGUGGGAAAUUUGACAUGCAAAUCCACCUAUUUCAUACUAUAAGUUAUUUGGCCACUACAAAUUAGCCUAUAUCAUUUUCAAAAAUUUUCUCAUGAGUCCUAUUUCAUAAUUUCACUCACAAAUGGCAAGAUCAAAUCAUGAAAUUUUCACAAAUGCACUUUCACAUGAAAUAAACAUAGAAUAUAACAUCUAAUUAUUUUUGUGACUCGGUUUUGUGAUCCCGAAACCACUUUCUGACUAGGGCCAAAUUAGGGUUGUCACAAAACCAAAAAUUCUAAAAAUUUUAUGGUAAUAAGAUAUGUAAGUCUAGUUUCAAGAAAAAUUAACGGAUCUUAAUUUUGAGUUCUGUAUCUUAAUAUUUAAAUAAUUUAGUGACUAUUAUGCAAAUGUAUAGUUUUGAAUAUACAUAUAAGUAAAUAGUGAAAUUAUUGAUAAUGUUACUUGUAGCAUGUUAUACAAAUUAAAGAUGUGGAAUGGAGAGGAGGAGAAGGAAAAUAUGUAUGAAUAUUCAGCUAGCAUGGUUAAUUUGCAUGGUUUAGGCUCAUGGACUAAAUUGAAUAAAAGUAAAAUUUUAUGGACAAUUUUGUAAAAAUGUUAGAAAUGACCAAUUUGCAUGAAAUGGAUUAUUUUAUUAUUUAAAAUUACAAAAUUGAAUGAAAUUAUUAAUUUAGCUCAAGAUCAGGGAAAAACAUGUUUUAAGGAUUAAAUUGAAAAGAAUUUUAUUUUAUUUUAUUUUAACCUAAGGAUGAAACCGUCAUUAAUUAAAAGUUUAGGGAUAAAAUGGUAAUUUUGUUUAGAGCAUUAGUUGAAUGUAUUACAAUAUGAAAUAAAUGAAAACGACGAUCAAAUUUCUUUAUAAAGAUCUGGAUGACUCGAAUACGAGACUUGAACGUGGAAAAGAAAAUAUAUCGGAUUAAUGAAAUUAUAAACAUGUGCAAGCAACGAGAUAAGUUAGUGUAACCUGAAUUGUAUUUUUAAAUGCAUGAAAUAUCGAUAUAAUGAAUUACUUGAUUUAUGUUUAUGAAGAAAUGGCAAGAGAAUGAUAUUUAUCAUGGUAUGUAAAUAGGUGAUUAUUUUUGAUACGUUGAUACAAGGAAAUUAAUUAAAUUGAGACGAGUAAUAAAUUCAAGUAAAACAUAUCGAGAAAAAUAAGUACGUUAAGGGACAAUAUGUUUGAUUUUAAUUGGUUCCAAAUAUGAACGUUAGAUGAAACGAAAUAUCUGAUAAAUAAAUCGGUAACUCCGGUAAUGCUCCGUAACUCUAUUCCGGUGACGGAUUCGGGUUAGGGGCGUUACAAUGUGGGUCAUCCAAAGUGCCUUCGAGAGGUGGAGCUAAUUAUAUGCUAACUUUUAUUGAUGAUUUUUCCAAAAAAGUUUGGGCGUUCUUCCUGAAGUAGGCAUUUAAGUCUUGGAAAACAAUGAUUGAAAAAUAGACGGGAAAACAAAUAAAAACACCUCCGCACAAACAAUAGUUUAAAGUUCUGUUCUGAUAAGUUUAAUGAACUAUGCAAGUCAGAAGGGAUCAUGAGACACUUGACAGUUUGUCAUACUCCACAACAAAACGGUGUUACAAAAUGAAUGAAUUUUUUUUCAUAAAUAAUAAAAUAAUUUGCAUGAACUUAGCUCAAUCAAAUACUGAUAUUGAUGUUUUAUUUGUAUGCAAUGAUUUGGUCUAAUGAAUUCGUCCAUUUAGAUUGUAUCCAUGUGAGAUAAUGCUAAAUAAAAAAUAAAAGGAAGAGACGAAUUUACAUUACAAAAAACGAUAUAAAAAAAUGAUUAGGAAAAAAAAGGGGGUAAAAUUAGGUAUAUGGAAUCUAAUGGCUAUAAGACAGCUCUUGUCUAUCCUUUGAGGAAUAAUUCUAGAAUCCAAUUGAAUCUAAGACAUGAAUAGUUGGUUUACGUUAUGUAAGAAACACAUGUAUAUGGAUAUUAGAUAUUGACUAGUUAUAUACAAACAUAUUGACUAGUUAUAUACGAACUCAAAAUAUAUCUAAUCCAACCUACUACUGUGCAGUUAGAUAGGUAUUCCAAUAGAAGAAUAGAAGUUCCUCUGUUUCAUCUUUGCUUUGAAUUGAACGAAUAAAGAGAUAAAAUAAAGACAAAAACGAAGAAUUCAAAGCAAAGAAUGGGUUGGAAAAAAGAAAGGGAAGAACAAAGUAUGUGCGGAUUCAAAAAAAUCUAGUGGAUAGGACCUAAAAAAAAGAUGUCGAAAUAGUUCUGACGGUUCAAUAAUCUUCUCGCUUCCAUUCGGAGUUCUUAGUUACUUCGGCAGGUUAAAUCUUAGUGAUGGAAUAAUAUAAUUAAGUCAAAAUUCAUUGGAUGAUUGUAUCAUUGACCAUUUCUUUAUUUUGGUGCGAGGAACUUAUCAUGAAUCCACUGAUUUCUGCCGCUUCCGUUAUUGCUGCUGGGUUGGCUAUCGGGCUUGCUUCUAUUGAUCCUUUACAUGUAAGGCCGAUUGCUCAUGCAAUUUGGGAUCCUCAUUUUGGUCAACCGGCGGUGGAAGCUUUUACUAGAGGGGGCGCUCCUGGUCCAGUGAAUAUCGCUUACUCUGGUGUUUAUCAGUGGUGGUAUACAAUCGGGUUACGUACUAAUGAAGAUCUUUAUACUAGAGCCCUUUUUCUAUUAUUUCUUUCUGCUCUAUCCUUAAUAACGGGUUGGUUACACCUACAACCGAAAUGGAAACCGAGUGUUUUGUGGUUCAAAAGCGCCGAAUCUCGUCUCAAUCAUCAUUUGUCAGGAAAAAAACUAUAUUGAUAAAAAUCAUUUUUAUGAAUUUAUUGCAAGACAUCAAAAGAUGACUGAAAAUAAAGACAAAAAUCAUUAUGAUUUGUUUGUUCCUAAAAAUAUUUUAUCCCCUAACCACCGGCGAGAAUUGCGAAUUGGGUAUGGCUUUGACUAUUCCUCAAGCCCGUCAAUUAGUUAACCAUAGAUAUAUUUUAGUUAAUGGGCGUACAGUAGAUAUACCAAGUUAUCGCUGCAAACCCCGAGAUAUUAUUGGUGUAACGUGUAUCCCCUCCUGUUCUGGUCAUGGAAUAGAUGAAAUAAAUCAAAAAAUGGAUUUUUGUUCAAGAAUGAAAUCUUAUUGGAACUGCCCAGUUCAUCCUUCGGAACCAUAUCACAUCCCAGAUCUGAUGAAAUAGGAUGAAUUGAGACGGUAUUUUGUAAAUACGUAAUUAUCUUGAAUAUAUUAACUAUUUCUUUAUUUUCCGAUUGCCUGGAAGGGACAAAAGAAACAUCUUGUUCUUUCUUCAACAAUUUCUGAUCUCUAGUGGACCUCUCAGUAGGGUUCGAACCCAGAUGAAGUUCUGACCAUCUAUCAGAGAAAAAAAAAUGAAUGGAUCUUGUAGGAUUCCCAAGAAAUUCUUCGAUUUCUUCUGGAAGCGGAUGAAUCAAUCCCACGAGCCUCUUAUCCAUUCUUAUUCGAUCACGGCGGGGGGCAAGGCAAAAUAGAAAAACUCACAUUGGGUUUAGGGAUAAUCAGGCUCGAACUGAUGGCUUCCACCAUGUCAAGGUGACACUCUACCGCUGAGAUAUAUCCCUUCCCUGCCCCCAUCAAGAAAUAGAACUGACUAAUCCUAAGUCAAAGGAUCGAGAAACUCAAUCCCUUAGAAGGUAUCAUUAAAAGAUCAUCAAUUCCUAAUGAAAUGGAUGUAGCAGUGGCUUGCUGGAAACCCAGAGCUUUUACUUGAUCCAGGAUGUGUGAUGUAUAUGCCAUUCCGAAGUGAUCUAUUAAUCUGCUAAUAAGCCGUUUAAUGGCAGUUCCAUCUAUCACUUUAUUGUGAAAUACCAGAUUGGCCCGUUCUGCCAUAAAUACCCCCUUAUUCCGCUGAGUGGACUUCGCCAAUGGGUUUGAGUCAAUGAUUGGAAAACUUCCUUUUCUCGAUCUUGAUUUAUGAAUUUCAACUAAGUAUCGUAAGUAAAUUGGUCCCGGUUGUUCAAUCAUUUGAUAACCAGAGUCAUUCUUUGAUAAAUGAUCACUAUGAGUCAGACUCAAUAGAAUUUGAUCAAUCCUUUUUUUCUGUCGUUAAGGUGGAGAACUGAACCAAGAAUUCUCUUUCUUUAUCAUCAAUCGAAUCACUGUUCGCGACCCAGGAUUCUAUUUUCUCAUCAAUCCAAUCACCGCUCACGUUUUUUCUUUUUCUUAUCAAUGAAUAGAUCUCUUUACUUGUAUGACUUAGAUGUCUCGUAUUUCUCGAAAAAAUGAUUCGAGUGAUGGGAUUUGGUAUGAUACUUAUGAUAUCGAUGAUAUCGAUGAGAUUGAUAUUCAAAUAUUUCUUCUUAGAACGUAUUGAUUUGACCCCAUAAGCGGGACCACCACCCCAUAGCAUGUUGCCGCCAAAAGUAGAACCCCGUAUUUCUUCUAGAGAAUCUCCUUCUAGUUGCUCUUCAUGAAGCUUCUCGCAAUUUGAUUGAUUUAUUUAUUCCUUUUCUACAUACGGAAGAAGAAAACUUACAUUUAGAAAACAAUCAACACGAUAUUACUUUACCUUUUUUUCCAUUUCAUGAUAGAUUAGUUAAACUAACAAAAAAGAAAAAAGAAAUAGCAUUGAAAUAUAUUUUUAUUGACCAAUCAGAAUUGCCUCCUAGGAUCUAUAAUUGUCUCAAAAAGUCCAAUAUACAUACAUUAUUGGACCUUUUGAAUAACAGUCGAGAAGACCUUAUGAAAAUUGAACACUUUCACAUAGAAGAUGUAAAACAAAUAUUGGGCAUUCUAGAAAAGAAGUAGAAAAAGCAUUUCGAAAUUGAUUUAUCAAAAUUUUUAAUCCAAUGGAUUUUGAACCUUCAGCACAAUCCAUAGAUUCGGACCAGAAUUGAAUAAAUGUAUCUAGGGAGAAUUCACUUUGCCUUUGAAGUGACUACUCCCUAGAUACGCACAUCAUGAUAUUUUUUAAUUGAUUCAAUUUAAAAAAGACCUAAAGUUAGGGAUUUAUCAAUCGGUAAUGUUGCUCCAAUACCCAACCAAAGGGCUACUGCAGUACCAAUAAAAAAAACGGUUGUCGCUACUGGACGACGAAAUGGAUUUUGGAAUUUAUUAACAUUUUCCAAAAACGGUACUGUUAAUAAUCCCGCGGGUACUGAAACCAUUAAAAGAACACCCAAUAACUUGUAAAGUACUGUACGAAGUAUUUGAAAUACAGGAAAGAAAUACCAUUCAGGUAAUAUUUCCAAAGGAGUUGCAAAUGGAUCCGCGGGUUCACCAAUCAUUGAAGGUUCUAGAACCGCUAAGCCCACGUUACAAGCAAUAGUACCGAGAAUUACUACUGGAAAAAUAUAUAAAAGAUCAUUGGGCCAUGCGGGUUCCCCAUAAUAAUUAUGACCCAUACCUUUAGCUAAUUUAGCUCUUAAUACAGGAUCGUUCAAGUCAGGUUUUUUUGUUAUUAGGAUAGGUGAAUUUUUAUAGAUCCAUCCCCCAAAGGAACCAGACAUGAUAAUUAGUUCAUCAAGUUGAUGAUAAAAUACAUGGGCGUUCCAGUGGAAAUUAUGCACUUGUUACACAACAACCACUUAGAGGAAGGUCCAAGCAAGGAGGACAACGGGUAGGAGAAAUAGAGGUUUGGGCUCUAGAGGGAUUUGGUGUUGCUCAUAUUUUACAAGAAAUGCUUGCUUAUAAAUCUGAUCAUAUUAGAGCACAGAACGAUCAUGGAGAAAGUUCGAUGCAUGUUGUCGAAUGCUAACUUACCGAAGUCGUUUUAGGCUGAAGCAGCCUUUACUGCAUGUUUUUUGAUCAACUGAUCUCCAUCCAUUGCUAUUGAGAUAAAGACUUCACAAGAUGUAUGGCCUGGUAAUCCUGCUGAUUAUUUUGAUUUAAAGAUCUUUGGGUGUCCUGCGUAUGUUCAUGUUGAUAAUGGAAAUUUGGAACCGAGAUCCAUUAAAUGUGCUUUUCUUGGUUAUAAAGCUGGAGUAAAAGGGUACAAGUUAUGGUGUUCUGAAAAUAAAAAAGUUGUAAGUAGUAGAGAUUGUUUUUUUAUGAAACUGCUAUGCUACCUAACUUAUUUCUUAAAGAAUCUUCCAAUAAAGAACAUCAAAAGCAGGUGGAGCAUCAGAUUAAUCCAGAAUCUACAACAGAGUCGACUCCUCAAGUCAGUACAAAAAUUCAGAAUAGAGUUGCUUCUUUACCACAAUACUCUAUCGCCAAAAACAGAACUAGAAAAGAAAUUAAACCUCCAAAGAAGUAUGCCGAGGAUGAUCUAGUUACUUAUGCUUUAAAAGUGGCUGAAGAUAUAGAUGCAAACCAAGAGCCAUCUAAUUAUUCUGAGGCGGUUAGCUGUGAAGAUUCAGAAAAAUGGAUGUUUGCUAUGCAAGAGGAGAUGGAAUCACUCCAUAAAAAGAGAACACGGGAUCUUGUGAAACUUCCUUAAGGUAAAAAUGUUAUUCGUUGUAAAUGGGUGUUUAAAAAGAAAGAAGGGGCUCCAGAAGUUGAAAAACCUAGAUAUAAAGCAAAGCUUGUUGAAAAGGGCUACAAUCAAAUUCCAGGAGUAGACUUCACAGAUGUAUUCUCCCUAGUUGUGAAGUAUAGUUCGAUUCGAGCUUUGCUUUGUAUUGUGGUCAUACAUGAUUUGGAGCUUGAGCAGCUAGAUGUAAAAACUGUAUUUUUGCCUGGAGAACUUGAGGAUGAUAUUUACAUGCAACAACUAGAGGGUUUUACAUCUCAGAAAAAAAGAAUUAUGUUUGCUUGCUGAAAAAGUCCAUUUACGGUUUGAAACAAUCACCAAGACAGUGGUACAAGAGGUUUGAUUCAUUUAUUACUUUUCAUGAUUUCAAAAGAAGUUGUAAUGGCCUAAAUUCAAGGUUAUCGGAAUAGUGGUUUCGUAACCACAAAUUCGAUUUAAAGAGAAAUUUAUUUUAAUAUUAUUGCAUGAAUAUUUAUAUAAUAGGAAAAUCAUAUGAAAAUAUCGAUAAAAAAAUUUACCGAUUUAGUGGUUAGUUAGAAAAAGAAAUUAUUGAAGAAAUUGGGUAAAAAUAAAGUAUCGAGAUCUUGAUCUCAUAAAACCGAGUCAGAAAUAUUUUUAUAAAUAUUUAUGAAAUGUUAGUGAUGUGGUAUUAAAAUUUCGUUAGGAAAUUUUAAUGUUUGGGUAGUCACUUAAAUGAAAAGGACUAAAUUGUAAAAGGUGUAAAAGUUGCUAGAAUGAUUAAAUAGCUUAAGUGUCUAAUGAGAAAGGAUUUAAAAGGAAAUUAGACCCAAAAUUUAUUUGGGCUGGACGGAAAGGGCAUGAAAUCAGCAGGAAAAUUGAUGAUUUAAGGGAAAAAUAAGAAUAUUGCAUAAUUAACUAAAUAAAUAUAGGACUAAAUAGGAAAUAUCUAGAUUUCUCUUAAUUUUUCUUCAUUCUCAUCAGAAAAAAUGCCAUAGGAGGGGUUCUAUAAGCUGGUAUUUCAUAAUUUUUGCACCAAUUGAGUUAAUCCUUGCCUAUUUCUUGUAAUUUUUGUGUUUCUAAGACCUUUACAAUUAGAUCCUACUAUUAAAUUCAUUAGUUUUUGAUUUCAUGGAUGAAAUUGAAAGUAACCAUGGUUGAGUGCUGUAAUUUUAUGAUGAAAUAGAAUGAAAUUGAAGCUUUAAUUUGUUUAUGAGAUGAAUUUAUUAGGUAAUUUCAAUAGAAAUUGAUUUUUAGGACCUAAUUGUGAAAAUAUUUGGAAUUAAAGUCUAGUGCUGAAAUUAUGAUUUCCAAAGGUUGUAAAAUAGUUUAAGGUGAUAGAAUAAAGUGUUAAUUGAGAAAAAUCAGCUCAAUUGAGAGGCUAAUUGAGUAGGGACGAAAUUAUCAUUUAUUAAAAGCCUAGGCGAAAAAUGGUAAUAAACAGCUUGCUCUAAAACAGUUUUGGACAGCAGCAGUAGACUAACUUUGAAAAAUCACCAUAAAUCGUAGAAAUAUAAUUAGAAGAUGAAAAAAAUAUGAAAUUAAAUCUUAUUGAGCCUAGUUUCUCAUAGAAGAAACGAUGUAAGCAAUGGAUUUGUAAAUCUUGAGAUAUAAUAAAUUUUGUGAGACAAGGUCAGAAUGAAUUCGGGUUCCCCUAUUCUGACUUUUAAAAAUCAUAAAAAAUUUAAUAAAAAUAAUUAGGGGAUUAAAUUUAUAUAUAUAGAAUCCUGAAUGAGUCUAUUUUUAAGAGAAACAAACUAGAACAUCAUUUGAAUCCUGUAUGAAGAGACAAUCUAUUUUUAGUGAAGAAGGGUCAGAACUGUCAGACAACAGAACAUGGGUGACUUUAAAAAAUAAACUAUACUUAUUGUAUAAACCAAAAAUCUUGAAAAAUUUAUGGUAAGAAUAUAUGUGAGUAUAGUUUCAGGAAAAAUUAUAAUAUCUUAAUUUUGAGUUCUUUAGCUCAGGAUAAAAAUAAUUAAGUGACUAUGACCCAAGUAGACAGCUUUGAAUGAACUAUAAAUAAUAGUGGAAUUAUAGAGAAUGUUGCAUAUGAACAUGAAAUGUAUUAAAUUGAUAAUUAAAUUUAUUUAUUUAGAUCCAGAAGAUUCAAAUACGAAGCUAGAUCGAGGAAAGGAAAAAGAUUGGGAUUAGUAGAUUUUUGUUUACAAACAAGUAUUGAGGUAAGUUCGUGUAACUUGAAUUAUAUUCUUAAAUGCUUGAAAUGUAUGUUAUUGAUGUGAAUAUGAUUUGAAUGUUCAUUGUAUGAAAAUUGAUGAAACAUUGAUAUAUUUGAUAAAAAGGGGAAGAAGUUUCGGUUGAAUGAAAGGAAAAUUCAAUGGAUCUCUGAAAAGGAAUUGACGAUAAAAAGGAUCUAGCCCGGACAGAUGAUCCUAUUCUGAUAUAGCCCUCCCGACGAAUAUGUGGAAAAUGGAUUUAGCCCGGACGGGUAAUCUGAAUCAGGGUCUGGAUUUAUCCUGGACUGGUAAUUUAGAUCCAAGCUCAUUAGAGUAAUUGUCGUUGCAGGGGAUUUAGCCUAGACUGGUAAUCCCGACAAUACUCUAUGAGUUUAUAUUACAGGGGAUUUAGCCUGGACUGGUAAUCCCUUUGUAAGGAUGAGGUUCGCGGGAGUGUGCUCUCUGAAAUGGAAAUGUGCGCACAUGUAUAUGAAUUGACGGACCCGAAAAUUGUACACUAAAAGUGUACCCCUGAAAAUCCAUCGAAAAUUCCAAGAAAUUCAACGUGAUAAAUAUGAAAAAAAAAUAAGGGAAUGGAAAUCAUGGUAUUGAUGAGUUCAUCAAUCAUGGUAUAUGUAUUAUUGACACAUGGAAAUUAUUGUACUAACUUGAAUGUUGAGUUUGUGCAUAUUAGGGUAAUAAUGCAUUGAAUGGAUAUUUGAAUGUUUAUUGCAUUGUAUUAAAAAUAUUAGGUAAGUAUAAUUCUUGUUACAUGAGCUUACUAAGCACAAAGUGCUUACCCUAUUUCCUUUUUCCUUGUUUUGUAGUGUUAAGAGCUCGGAGGUCGGAUUUGGUCAGAGACACAUCACACUAUCAACUUCAAGAUUUCGGUAUAUCAAGAAACUUUAUUUUGGAAAUCAAUGGCAUGGAUAAGCUAAUAAAGUAAAUGUUAACGUGAAAUGAAUGUAAAGUUAGCCAUUGGUAUGGUUAACAAACCUGGUCUUGGUAUGUGAUGAUGUUAUCUUAUACAUAUGCGUGAAUCUAUAUGCGUUAAUCUAUCUUGAAAAUAUUUUGAAUUGGAUUGGUUGAUGUGGAUUAUUUUUGGUUUAAAAUUGCAGGGAAGGUUAGAUAUUUAUAAAGGGGUUAUAUUGAGUUAAAAAAAAUUAAUUCAUAAACUCCGGUAAUACCUCGUACCCUAUUCCGACAAUGAAUACGGGUAGGGGGUAUUACAGAAGUAGCUUUAACAGUUGUGUUUACUUUAAGAAAAACAAUGAUGGUUCUUUUGUGUGUCUACUCCUUUAUGUUGAUGACAUGUUGAUAGCAACGAAAGAUAAAGGAAAAAUAAGAAGGGUUAAUGUAACACCCCCUAACCCAUAUCCGUCGCCAGAACAGGGUUACGGAGUAUUACCGGACAUUUAGGAUCAAAUAUGAACAUUACAUAAUUAUCUAACAAACAUAUUAUUUUUCAUAUAAUAUCCCAAUCAAUUCAAUUACUUCAUUCAAAUCAAAUCUAAUUUUCGUACCAAAACAUACUAUUUAUAAUCUUAAAAUAGUACAUAAGCUUAUAUAUAUGUAUCCAAUAACAUUUUAUAACAUAUUUUGUAACACUUUUCAAAAUGACAAACACAAAUGUCCUACGUACAUGCCAUUACCAAAAAGAUAUGUACUUCGCCACAAUGAGUUCGGGAUUGGCCUUGGAUGCUGAUUCAGCAAUUCGACUUUAACUUAAUCUGCGCACAGAAACAAACUGUACGCUGAGUAUAAAACUCAGUGGUAUUUCUAUAAUUCGAAUACUUUAGAGAAAAUAAUAUUAUAAAACAUACACAUUUUAUCAUACAGUAGACAUAGUUUUACAAAUAAUCAUUUCAUAGAUAAAGUAUUUGUACUCAUUCUAUUCAAUCAAUUUGCUAUCCCAAAUAGCUUUCACUAUAUGACACAAUCAUGUGUCUCAAAUCACAUUUCAAUUCAUUCUUCGAUUUCAAUCAUAGCACUGUCUCAUUCAAUAACCAUUCCAUGAACACAUGGUUCAUACAUUUCAUUUUCAUAACUCAAUUCAAUAUUUCAAUCCAAUUCAUGUUCAAAAUCAUCCAAUAUCAUUCAUAUUGCCAAUUUACUUAUUUACCCAUAUUGACAAGACUUGAACUUUGGCGGAUACACGGAUCCAACCAAAACACACCAGUAUGGCACCUAGCACCUCAUCGGAUAAUUCGAGGUAAUAAGUUGACACCUAGUGUCUCAUCGGCCUUGCCGAAGUAAGUUGGUACCUAGUACUUCAUCGAAUUUAUCAGAAGUAAUAAUAUGACACCUAGUGUUUCAUCGACUAGUGGUCGAAGUAUCCCUGAACACUUUCAAUCCUAUGGCAUGCCAAUUAUACCAGACUCAGCCUGACUAGUUAAUAGGGUAUUUAAAUCACAUAUAACCUCAAUUCAAUCACAAUUUCUCACAUUUUCAAUUCAAUCAUUUUUCCACCUUUUAAUCAAUAUUCAAUCCAUAUAUUCACACAUUUUCACAAGUCAAUACAUUUUCAUUCAAUUCAAUAUCAAUACUCACCUUAAUUUCUCUUAGCAUGCAUAUUAAUCACUAUUCACAAUUAAUAAUAAAUAAAUUCAAAUUAUAGUAAUACAAACUAGGAAUUCCGAGCUGUUCCACGUCGACUUUAUCUUUCUCCCUUUUAGUCGAGGAUUCUGGUAUGAAGUUAGCUACAAAAUUAAAACAAUUAAUAAUUCAUCAAUACAACACAAUUCAAUCUCAUAUUAAAUAUUUUAAUUUUUAUCUAAUAUUUUCCUAAAUUUCAAUUUAGUCCCUAAACCGAGACUAACUUUAUUUCUCACAUUUAAUUCUUUAUUUUCAUGCAAAUUCCACUUUAGACUAAAUUCAACUCCCUAUUUUCACAGAAAUUCCUAAAUUUUGAAUUUUUCACAAUUUAGUCUCUAUUACACAAAAUUUACAAUUUAUUCUACAAUUCAAUCCUUUUUCAUUUCUAACUUGAAAAUCUAUCAAUUUAGUCCCUAAUACUCAAAUUAUUCAACAUAGACAACAUUUAAAAAUCAAUAAUUUCUAAAAUUUUGACAUGAGUUGGGUAGCAUUUAAUAUCGGGAUUCCAAAAACAUAAAAAUUACAAGAAAAUGGAUUGAAUUGACUUACCAAUUGAGCUUGGAACCCUUGAAAAUCGUAGCUUUUUCUCCUUUCUUUCUCUUUUUCUUUUCUUUCUUUCCUUCUCUGUUUCAUUUCUACUUUAGCUUUCUUUUUCUAUUUCUAUUUAUUUAUUCUUUCUUUAUUUGUUUUAUUAUAUAUAAUAUAAUAUAAUAUAAUAUAAUAUAAUAUAAUAUAAUAUAAUAUAAUAUUUAUACUUGUCGAAACCAUUUUCAAAUCGAGUUUUGGAAAAUGGGAAUCAAUUUUAAAAAUGCAAACGGGAGUCGCCACCAAUCUUUUUAGGUGUGAUUGGAUCACCUUUAAAACAUUUGGUUUUAAAAUCAUUAGUUUUGGUCCACGAAAUAAAAGAACGGGUUCGGGAGUCGGUUACGUACGAGGAAGGAUUAGCACCCUCGUAACGCCCAAAAAUUGGUACCUAAUUGAUUAUCAAAUGUCUUUAAUGUUGAAAGAAGAAAAAAAUUUAAGAUGUAGUCCUCUUUAGAAUAUUUUAACUUUGAAAAUUGGGAUUCACUAGCGUCAAAGUAUUGACAUUAAGUUAUCCCUUUUUUGAAAUUCCUAUCUCGAAACAGAAAAACGCUAUAUCCAAUAAGUUAGGACAUAUUGCUUUGAAAUUCCAAGAUAGUGGCUUGCAUUUAGAAAACCUCUAAAAAAACUUAGAAGGGUACUUAAUUAUUCGAAUUCAACGAGAAAAGUGGCAACCCAAUAAGUUAGGGCACUGCUUUCUCGAACCAAGCAUUGCCUUAUUUGCAAAAAAUCUUAUUUCGAGGUAACAAAUAAAUGAAUAAAACGAAUAAAAAGAUAAUAACGAAUAAGCUAGGAAAUAUUCGAGAUUAAAAAAAACUAGUAAUAAAUAAACAAUCAUUAUAUAAGACUAAAGAAUGAUAGUAUAGUGAAGAUAAUAAUAAUAUUAAUAGUAAUAAUACAAGUAAAAAUUUUGGAAUGAUGUGUGAAAUUAUAUAUAUGUAUGUGAAUAUAUAGAUAAGUAAACAAUAUAUAUAGUGAGUGAAGAGUAAAAGGUAAAAUAAGUGUAUUUAAAGAGUAAUGGGUAAAAAUAUAAUAAUAAUAUAAUAGUAGUAAUAACGUAAUAGUAUUAGAAAUAUACGAUAUAUAAUAUUGAAGGUAAAUACAUAAUAUAUACAUAUUAGAAAUAAUCAUAAUAUUAGAAACAACUAUUAAUAAUACUACAUAAAUAGAUAUAUAGUAGUAGCAUAUACAUGAUAUAGUUAAAAAUAUAUAAAGUAAGAUAAUAUGGGAAAUAAAAAAAAUAUAAACGAUAUAAUAUUAGGGCAUAUGCAAAACAAUAAAAAUACAAUAUUAAAAGAUAUAUAUAUAUAAUGUAUUCAUAAUAUAAUAUUAAAAUAUUUACAUGGUAUAUACAUAAUAAUGUAAAAAAUAAACUAUUAGUAAUAUUAUAAAUAUAUACAUAUAGUAGAAUAAUAAUAUAAAGGUAUUUCAUAUAAACAUGUAUGCAUGUAAAAAAAAAAAGAGAAAAAUAAUAAUUACAAAAGUAUGAAAUCAAAAUAAUAUGUAGAAACAUGUUUAUUCUAAAAAGAAUAACUAAAACUUAAUUGAGAGAAGAAACAAAACCCAAGAGAUAACUUACAAGUAAAACAAAUUAUUGAAACAAAAUUUUGGGCUAAAAUUAAUUGCGUAUAAAUGUCCGAGAUCUAAAAUUAAAAAUGCCCCAAAUCUUAAAAUACCGCGCAAAGGGGGCAAAUUGAAAUAGCACAUAGACUGCAGGGCCAAUUUAAAAUAAUAUAAAAAGCUUAAAUAUGGCCCGAUUGAAGGCUAGCACAAAGGAGGGGACCAAUUGCGUAAAUUACCCAAUUAAAGGUAACAUGCAUGGUCCCAAGCAAAAAGCUGAUUCCACUCCCCCCAUUCUACUUUGUUUUAUUAUUAAUCAAAAACACUUCCCAUGCUAUUUUGUUUUAUUGUUAAUUAAAACUAUUUCCCCAUACUAUUUUGUUUUAUUGUUAAUUAAAACUACUUUCUCAUACUAUUUUGUUUUAUUUUAAUUAAAACCAUACUUUAUUUUAUUUUUUUUAUCAUAAAAAAACCAUUUUUUUUAAAAAAAACAACAAAAAAAGAGUUAAAACAUCACCCUACCACCCUACAUUCAUUUUUCAAAAUAGAGAGAAGGCUCUCAACUCUCUCAACCCUUCCCCUCCUCCGAUUAUCGGACCAGCCAUCAACCGUCACGCCGGUCACUAGCCACCGACGGCGGCGGCGCCGUCCACGGUGGUCGGAAAAUCUUCCGAGACCUUUUUUUGCUUCUCUUCUCGAGUAGAGCCCCGAUUUGGGGUUAAAACGACCCAAAAACCUUCAAAAAUUAAUGAGAAGCACCCUAGAACUCAAGAAUCCAUUUGGUUUCCGGCCACCGAUCUUUGGCGGUGGCUUCCUCGGUCGUCCACGAUGUUGGAAAAUUGAACACCGGUAAGUUCCUUCCCUCUUUCCCUUUUGAACUUGUUUUCUCCUUUUGAUUUCUCCCAAAAAUAUCUGUAAUACAACCCCCUCUAAUACAAUCUCUUCUCUCCAAAAUACAAUCGAUUCCCCCCUCUCCCAUGGCACAAGGAACAUAGGGCUUUUAUAUAGCCCAAAAUCCAAAGAAAAAAUACAAAUAAUUUUAUUUUUUGGUGUUUUUCUUUGCUGUCCCUUUUUUUGUCUUCUUUUGCAGGUAUAGAGUGGUGGAGGCAAGUGGGUGUGCAGGUGGCAGACAACUGGUAGUGGCGUAGGUGGCCAAGGUGGGGUGACGGCUAGGGUUCAUCACCACUUUUCUUUGCUGAAAAUUGCUUAGGUUUGGGUAGUUCUAAUUUGGGCUGGUUUUGGGUACUGGGUUUGGGUAGGUUUAGUUAUUGUAAUUAGGUAGUUUUGAUUUUUGGGCUGUUUAACAUUGUAAAUGGACUUGGAAUUUGGUUAUGUGGAUUUUAUUUUUUGCUUGUUUGCUUGGGCCAAAAAUUGGCCAUUACAAUACUUAUAUGUUAAGUAAAAGAUAUUUUAAUAUAAUAUAUAUUAAAUUCAAAAAAAAAAUCUUCUUAUGUCGCCUCAUUUAUGAGCAAUGGCAUAAUUGCUUAUUUAGCCCUUUUAAUUUUUCUUUAAUCUAUAAUUCAACUUUCACUCUAUAUGAAAUUUAGUCCUUAUACCUAAUUACUUUUAAUUCAAGCAAAUUCACUUAACUGAAACCUAAUUAACUACACAACUAGCUUCGUAAAUAUUUUUAAUAAAUAUUUAUGAAUCUGAUUUAUGAUAAGAAUUUUUUUAAUUUGAUCAUUUUUAAUUAAUUAACUAUCAAAAUGUUAAAAUUUUCUAACAAAACUUUAAUACUAACUCAAUGACACUCAGUAAAUAUUUAUAAAAAUAUUUACGGCUUGCUUUGUGAAAUUGAGGUCUCGAUACCUCAGUUUCAAAACUAAUUAAUUUGAUAAAUAUUUCUAAAGCACAAAUCUCUAAUUCAUAAGCCUUUCUAAAUUCAUGGUUGGCUUAUAAAUACUAAAUAAUAAUUUAUAAGCUCACUUGUCAGAUUUUAGUGGUCUCGAACCACUUUUUCUGACAUCACUGAAAAUUGGGCUGUUAUAGUUAAAGCCCAACUAAGUAAAGAAUUUGAAUUGAAAGAUUUGAGACCAGCAAAAAAGAUACUUGGUAUGGAGAUUCUUAAAGAUAGAAAAGUAAGUAAAUUGUACCUAAGUCAGAAUGGUUACAUUGAGAAAGUUCUUUGCAAGUAUGCAGAGUGCUAAACCUGUUAAUACUCCUUUAACAGCCCAUUUCAGACUUUCAUCAACUUUGUCUCCACAAUCAGAUGAUGAGAUUGAGUACAUAUCACAUGUUUCAUAUUCUAGUGCAGUGGGAUCUCUCAUGUAUGUUAUGGUUUAUUCACGUCUAGAUUUAUCAUAUACAGUUAGUGCAAUUAGCAGAUACAUGGUGAAUCCUGGUAAAAAACACUGGAAAAUAGUUCAGUGGAUUUUAAGAUACUUACGAGGUACUACUGAUAUUUGCUUACAGUUUGGAAAAACUAGAGAUGGAGUUAUUGGGUAUGUUGACGCUAAUUUUGCUGGAGACAUUGAUAGAAGAAGAUCUCUCACAGGUUACGUCUUUACAAUUGGAGGUUGUGUAAUCAGUUGGAAAACCACUUUGCAAACUACAAUCACUUUGUCUACCACUGAAACUGAGUACAUGGUGAUUACUGAGGUUUGUAAAGAAGCCAUUUGGUUGAAGGGACUCUUUAGUGAACUCAAUGAAGACCUUCAAAUCAAUACAUUAUUUUGUGACAGUCAAAGUGUCAUCUUUCUUACAAAAGAUCACAUGUUUCAUGAGAGAAUAAAACACAUUGAUGUUCAGUAUCAUUUUGUUCGUGAUAUUAUUACUCGUGGUGAUAUUGUUGUGAGCAAAAUUAGUGCUCAUGAAAAUCCUGCAGAUAUGAUGACUAAGUCACUUCCCAUAACCAAGUUUGAGUAUUGCUUAGACUUGGUUGGUGUUCAUCGUUGAAGUUAAGCCCUUAAAGGGUUUUAUGGAAGAUGUUGAGAACUUGUUCGUUAAGAGUUCGUGAUGAAGAACUUGUUCAUUAAGAAUUCGUGUCAAGGUGGAGAUUGUUAGAAUUGAGUGGCCUGAAUUCUUGUUUAAAUAAAAUAUAGUGGUAAAAUAAAAUAAAAAUAAAAUCCAUACAAAACUACAUUUCUUUUAUUUUAUUUUAGAAUAAGGUUUUUUCAAAUCUUAUUAAACUUUAUCUAUUUGAUAUUAAUUAGAUUAAGGUGUUUCAAUCUUACUACAUUCCUAUUAAAAUAUGGUUUUACAAGCCUAUAAAUAGACAGAGUCUACUUCUCUUGUAAUCAUUAUGUAGAAGCCAUAGUUACAAAAUUUCAAUCUAAUAUCUAGAAAUGAGAAUGAUUUAUGAUCCUUGAAUGUUCGAUCUUCUUGUGCCGACAAAUCAAACAAAAAAAUCGAAAGAGAAAAUUUUAUUAUAAAUAUUUUAUUAUUAAGUGGAUGUCGAUAAAUUUUGAUUUACUUUAAAUUCUAGUGGUCAUAAAAAGUAGAGUUUUAUUUCAUUUAUACUUUUUAUGUUUAUAAUUAUAUACUUUAGAGAAACAUUGUAUAUUAUUCUCAUUGAUCAAUAAAAUGCGCUCUCUUUUGCUCUCUCAUUUUCUUUCUUUUUACUCUCUAUCUUUUUAUUUUAUGACACGUCAUCAGUAUGAUGAUUCUCUAUUUUUUUUCACUUCAAAAUCUUUCAAAGUCGUUCCACAAAUCCAAUUCCUCUUUCACCUUAAUCUUUCAUCUUUGCAACUUAAUUUCCAGGAUGUUGAAAGAUCCAAUUUCAAAAUGGAUCAUGGUUCUUAUUCCUGGUAUUUGAUUUAUCAUUGUACAAGCAUGGUAAAGUAUAGAUUUGGUAAGAAACUUUUAUAUUUCAAUCAUAUUUCCUUUUUCAAUGAAUGUAUGACUACUACUAUUUUUUAUUUGACAUAAAUUUCACAUUAUGAUGGUAUUUGAUUUUUGUCUCUCUAGGUUAAUUUUAUUUUUAUGUAAAAGACAUAAUUGUUGAUUAGAUGAAUCCCCUUUGAUUAGAUUCAAUGUUUUGUCAUGAGUUAUUUAUUUUCUUUCAUAAUUGAAUUAUAAUUAACUUAUAUAUCAAAAUUAUUAAGUGAUUUUCCAUGUGCUCUAUUAAUGAAUAAAAUAUUUAUUGUUUUUUUAAAUAUAUAUUAUCUUAACGUUAUUUAUAUAUAUGCCAUGUGAGAUGGUAUUUUGUCUCUAAAUUGGUUUCUUACUUUCAGCUAAAUUUUAUGGAAUUAUUGAAUUAUAGAGAUUUCAAUCAAAUUUUAUGGAAUUGUGGAUGAAGCAUUAAGAAUUUAUAUAUAUUUGUGAUAUUAUUAUGAAUUAUGUGAUUUAAUUAUAAAUUAUAUCUUGAAAAAAUUUUCAAGAGUUAAUAUCAUAUUUAUUUAUGAUUGAACAAAAUUUUUUAAUCACGAAAUUUAACCAUUCCCUCAAGAGAAUGUAAAAAUAUGUAACAAAUUCGAAAGAUAUAAUCUUGGACAUAAAUAUAAUAAGUUGGACUAUAAUAAUAGCCAUAGAGGACGGUCAUGAUAAAUUUUCUCACCACUAUAAAUGGAAAAAAAAUGAAGAAAGUAAGAAACGAACAAGAAUUCCCAAUAACUCUUUAAGGAGUGGAGAUAACGUAUGUUAUUAAUAUGGUACAGAAAGUUAUUAGUUGCAUACCUAUACACCUAAACAUUUAGUUGAACUCUAUCAAAUUCCUAUCAAAUGGAAAGGAGACAAUGUAACAGCUCAGUUUCGGUGAAAUCGGAACAGUGGUUUUGGGAUCACAAAUCAAAGCCAAAAAAUAAUUUUUUUUAUUUUAUUUUAUGGUUCGUAAUAUGAUAUAAAUAUCAUUUGAAAAUUUUGAUAAAAAAAAUUUACCGAUUAUGUGUUUAAUUACGGGAAGGACCAAAUCGCAUAAAAUGCAAAAGUUGAAUUCUAGUAGCUAGAAGGAUCCAAUAGCUAUGGAAUUCAAAACUUAAAGUCCUUAUAUGGUAAUUAGACCAUUAAUAAAAAUUUAGUAUAUAUUUUUGGAUUAUUCAUCCAUGGAAAAUUAGAAAAAGGCUAAGGACUAAAUUGGAAAUUAAAAAUAUUAAAGAUGAUAAAUUAAUUAAAUAGAAAUAAAAAUCAUUUUUAUUAUCUUCUUCCCCAAAAUAUUCCAUGGAAACCCUAGGAGAGAGAAAGGAAACUUUCUUGGCCAAAUUGGGUAAGUUUUCUUAUCCUGUUUUUAGUAAUUUUGAUAUUUUUGAAAUCGAGAUAGUUUAAUCUAUCUGUUUGGGGAAUCAAUUUGAAAAGUUAUCAAAGUACAAAAAUUAUUUCAUGGAUGAAUAUGCUGAAAAUUUGAAAUUUAUGGUAGAAUAUGAAAGGUUGUUGAUAGAUAAACAACUUUUACAUAGCAAUUUUUGAUGAAAACAUGAUUUAGGGACUAAAAUGUAAAGUUGAGAAAAUUGAAGAAAAAUUCUGGAUUUUUAUAGAAUACAUGUGCUGUAAAUUUUAUAUUGAAUUUUUUGUUAGGCUUGGAAUAAGGAGUAAAUUGCAUAAAUUUCAUUUUUCGACUCUAGGGACGAAAUCGUCAUUAAUUAAAAGUUUAGGGGUAAAAUGAUAAUUUUUCCUAAGAUGUGAGUUGGACUGAAUUGAGUUUAAAUUGUAUUAAAUUGAUGUUAAAUUAACUCAUAUAGAUAUGGAUAGACCAAAUUUGGAGUUAAAACGAGGAAAAGAGAAAAAUGUUGGAAUAGUAGAUUUUACGUAUAUGAACAUUUGUCUAGGUAAGUUCGUGUAACUAAAUUUUGUAUAUUUAUAUGCUUUAAUUUAAUGUUUUUUUUGUGGAUUGUAUAAAUAUUAUAUAUAUAUGACAUUGAAAACGUAUCAGAUAAAGUCCGGUCAAUGAUAAUGCCCGAUAAAUGAUAAAUGAUAAAAAUGUUACUUUUAUGCUUGAAAUGAAUGUGAAAUGUAUUUAUUUGAAUUAUAUAAAUCUUAUAGAUGUAUGAAAUAAUUACAUUCCCGUUAAUGCCUGAAAAAUGUUUAAAUCCUGGUUGAAUAAAUGAAAAUUCGAUGGAUAUGUGAUUUCCUGAAAUGCAUGAGGUCCUACAUUUGUUGCUGACGGGAUUUAGUUCAGACGAGUAUUCUAUUGACCUAAUUACAUAAAGGAUUUAGCCCGGACGGGUAAUCCUGAUAUAAGUCCUCUCAAGCAUAUGUUAUGGAUUGAAUUUAGCCCGGACGGGUAAUCCAGAUCAAGCUCUUUAGAGCAUAUGUCAUAAAAAGGAUUUAGCCUAAACUGAUAAUCCUAUAGUAUGCAUGUGUGGCUCGAGAGUGUACUCUCUGAAAUAAUACUUUAUGGAUACCAUUGAAUAUGAAUUGACGGAUCCUGAUUUGUACACCUUGAGUGUACUACCUAUGUAUCCAUCGAUAUUUCAAAUAAAUUCAACGGAUGACAAUCCAGACAUGAGAAGAUAUGAAUAAUAAAAUGAGUUUUUGCACGUAUCCAUCUGAAAUACAAGAAAAUAAUGAUACAUGACAAGUGAUAUAUGAAAGUAUGAGAUGAUAAUAUUUGUAUAUGGAAAUUAUUUGAUGAGAAUGUUAUCCUUGAUUAUAGACCUGUACACCUUGAGUGUACUACUACUCAUGUGACCUUGAUAUUUCGAAUGAUAUGAAUAAAGUUUUGACAUGAAAUAAUCUGAACUCAAGAUGAACUAUUAUGAAAUUGUACUUGUAAUAUAAGAAAUGAUUUAUACAUGUUAAAUGAAUACAUGUUGUGGAAAUCAUAUGUGCAUGGAAACUUGAUUGUUGUUGAGCCCAUAUAUGUUUUGAUGUUAUUAUGAAAUAUAUGACUAACAAGGGCAAUGAGGAUAUGUGUAGGGCUUGAGGUCAAAUUGAUUGAAUAUGUCUUACAUAGUUAACUCAAAAUAGAAUGAAUGGUAAGUUAAGUACCAUGUUAUACAAACUUACUAAGCAUUUUAUGCUUACUUAGUUUUAUUUCCCUGUUUUAGAGUAAAUCGGAAGCUUGUUGGAUUGGAAGCUUAGUGGAGAUCACUCACACUAUCCAUCAGGCCAUGUCGAUACAAUAUGGUAAAUCAAUUAUGGUUUCAAUGGCAUGUAUAGGUUAUAUUGGUCAUAUUGAUAUGUAAAUGUAAAUGAUUAUUGUAAUCUAGUCAUUGGAAUGGCUAGUGAUGAUUAUAUAUUGAUAUACAUAUAUAUAUACAUAUUAAGGUUACUUCAUGGUGAUAACAAGUGUUUAUUAUUGAUUAAUUGAGAAAGGUUAAACAAGUAUGCUUAAUAAGGUAAGAUUAAAAGCAUGAAAUCAGGUAACGAUAUACCAUGCUAAAUGGUAGAAUUAGCAUGAUUAAAAUGCUUGGAUUGGUUAGUUUAUGAAUGCAAGUUUUGGUGUAGGUUUAUGGUAAGGUUUUGGGUGAGAAAUGAAGUUAGAAAUGUCUUUAUUUUGUCCACACAGGUAGACACACGAGCGUGUGUCUUCACCGUGUGUGAAACACGGCUUAGCACAUAGGCGUGUGGCCUGGUCGUGUGUCCCCUACACCCUAAAUUUGAGAAAAAGAAUGCUCAGAAUUGAGCACACGGGUAGAGACACGGGCGUGUGUCUUAGCAGUGUGUGUUACACGGCCUAGCACACAGGCGUGUGGCAUAGGAGUGUGCACAAGUUAGAGAGUUACACGGGAUCAAACACGGCCUGUAGCACGGGUGUGUCCCUUAGGCCACACGGGCGUGUAAGCCUUGUAACUUAGAAAAUUUUUGAAAUGUUGCGAAAAAUUCUUCGAAUUUCUGAUUAAGUCCCGACAUGAUUCUUGUAGCACCCCAAACCCGGCCCAGACGUUGUGACCGGAUCCGACAUGCCACAUCGAAGCGUUCAAAAUAUUUUAUAUUGUUGAUCCUGAAAAACUUACUUAGUGUUUUAAAAGAUAAUUUCAUUAUAGGUUAAAGUGAAUGGAAGCUGUGCACCAGGUAGGAAACCGGAAAAGAGGUGGUGAGUCCAUCGGACUGCUUAAGUACCAAGCUCUCUUUGGAUCCAAUCCUAAACAUGCAUACCGCCAUUGCCACACCUUAACGUCAUGGAUAUUUCUAGGAAACCGAUUUGAUUAAGUAUCUUUAGGAAAAGUGAUUAAUUUUGGAAAAUACUUUCAUUGCGGAAGCUUUGUUUGUUGUCGUAUUAUUUUGAAAUCAAUUGUUGUUUUUGAAAACGCGCCCUAAAGCUAUCCAAUUUCAACAGUUAAAAUAAGUAAUACCUAUCUUAUUAAUACAUAUUAAAACCAUAAAAAAUAAUUAAGCGGCCUUAUUACAUUUAAAAACCCAAAACUUCAAACGUAAAUAAAAGGAUGUCCAGUUCACCAGAAGAAAAUCAAACUUUCAGAACGGGUGGCCACUCCGAAUUCCUUCACAGCUCCAAGCCCACUAUGGUUGGGGAUUACCUGCGUGGAUGAAAAUAAAAGGGGUGAGUUUGGGGAAACUCAGUGUGUAAGGAAAACCCAUUCAAAACCCAAGUCAGAUCAAGCCUAUUGGGCAUAAGCCCAUUUAGGUAACAGUGGUACUGGACCAGAGCCCUUUUCAGAUUACAAUAAACUAGGCCUUAGGCCCUUAUUCAGAUAACAGUAUGGCCCACAGGCCCAUUUUAAAAUACAUGCAACAUCAAUAACAUAUGCAAGCCCAUUUGGGGAGACUACUCAACCCACAAACCACUACACUCCACCCGUACCAGCCCUACACUCCAUGUGGGGAAUAGCUCAACCCACCCAGCCCAACACUCCACAGUUGCAGCCUUGCUGCUCAGUUAACAAUAAAUUGAGGCAAAGCCUCCAGUACGUGGACAAGCCACUUUCAGUACUUCCUCCGUCAAUAUCCCAAUCCCAUGCAUCAGAUAAUAACAACAUGGCAUGCAGUAAAUAACAACAGUCAAACAUGCAUUUAGGUCAAUUUAACCCUAGGGGUAUUUCGGUAAUUUAUCUACUAGGGGUAAAACUGUAAAUUUUCCACUUUUUAAAGGUAUUUCAGUAAUUUAUCUAUUUUAGGGUUUUUCAUGCAUAUUCCUACUUUUCACGUACUAACAGAAACACGUAUCGAGGGUUUUUACCGAAUUGGGCCCGUUGGCCCAUCAUUCCAAUUUUGGCCCAUUAAGCCCAAAAAUAUCAAGGGCACAGAAAUCAUGCACUUUGCAGUCCAAAUUUUGCAGCUUACCAAAAACAUUAAUCGAUUUACCUCACGAGCAUUCGCACACUCGCAAAUCUACAAAAUACCGGUUUUCGGCAUUUUGGCUUUUCAGCUUUUGCCGAUCCAGACUAAGAAAGAGGGUGUUAGUUACACACCUGUUUGCGACGAUAUGUUGACGAGAUCCACACAUGAACUGCCUACAAUUGGAUUACUAACACAUUAAUCUAACUAUUCAAAUACGAACUACGUAUUAACCCCUUACAAUAUUCGGCCAACCACACCUACAGAUCAUAGUAAGCUUAUAAGAAAACAAUAAGCAACUUAUUAACAAAUUGUUGUUAAUGUUUACCACAUAAUCAUAAUUUCACUGCAAGCUGUCUUCCUGAGCAACAGUCACUAAAUUAUUUAUAACUGGAGCUACGAAACUCCAAAUCAAGUGUCGUUAAUUUUCCCAGAAAAUAGACUCAUAUAUCUUCUAUCCAUAAAAUUUUCAGAAUUUUUGGUAUGGCCAAUCAAUACCAGAUUUUUCUUAAAGUUUCCCAUGUUUCACUGUUUGACUAAUCUGACCACUCUUCAUUACGAAUCAAAUUUCUCAUUGUAAAGAAUUCAAAAUAUGUUCUCAUUUAUUCCAUUUGAAACUAGACUCAACAAGCUUUAAUUACAUAAUUUAUUCAGCUUCAAAUUCAUCUCCCACAAUUUAUGGUGAUUUUCCAAAAUCACGUUACUGCUGCUGUCCCAAGCAGAUUUAUUACCAAAUUCACUCUUUCACACAUAACCUGUAUGCAUGUUAUUUAAACAUGUAUAUCACCAAUCAGUCAUCACAUAUCUAUGAUUUUACUUAAGUAUAAUCUCUAUUUCAUCAUUUUAAAGCACAACAUGUUAGCCGAUUUUUUCCCUUUAGCAUCUAAGGCACGUGCAUGUUCAUUUGUUUGGCUCAACUUCACCUAUCUUCCAUUUUUCAUCAAAAGAACAUGAAACAACAACCAUUUCCUUCAUUUUAAUUCAUGACUAAAUGCUCACAACACAACUAAAAACCAAAAUAUGCUUCAAGAGUUAAGGUAGAAUCAAGAAGAACUCAUGAACCUCAAAAUAAAAGCAAACUACCAUGAACUUACCUUCAAUUUUUCUUCCCCAAGUGACCGAACAUUCAAGAGCUUUCUCCUCUCCUUUCUCUUCUCUAACUUUAGGCUAUGAUGAACAAAGAUGGACAAAACUUUGUUCUUUUCACCCCUUUUUUUUUAAUAAAAUUUCAUAUUUCAUCCGUUUAAUUCUUUAAUACAAAAGACACGAAAUUCCCAUCUUGGAACAUUUACCUAAACCAUUAUCAUGGAACAUUUACCUAACCCAUUAUCAUGGAAUAUUUACCUAAUCCAUUAUCAUGGAGUAUUUACCUAACCCAUUAUCAAUUUGUACCAUGAAUUAUGGAUAUCAAGUGCUCAUAUUGUCUACAACAACAUGAUGGCUGGCCACUUCAUGUAAAAUGGGAGGUUUGUCAUGCAAAUUCUCCUAUUUUGCACUCCUAUUUAUUUGGCCACUUCAAUUUAGCCUAUAGCAUUUUUAAAAAUUUUCACAUAGGUUCUAUUUCAUAAUUUCACCCCCUUUUUCUUAUGGAACAAAAAUUAACUAAAAUUGUCGGGUUCUAUCUUAAGCUUGGGCCUUCUAGAGGCCCACCAACAUAAUUAAACCUAUGCCAACAUUCACAGAAUUCCCGAAAAUUGGGGCGUUACAACUCUACCCUCCUUAAAGAAAUUUCGUCCUCGAAAUUUACCUGAUCCAACUAGUUAAGGGUAUUGUUGACGCAUAGUCUCUUCUGAUUCCCAAGUAGCUUCUUCCCUUCCAUGAUUAUACCAAAGUACUUUCACUAACAGGACAGAUUUCCUUCUGAGAACCUUAACAUCUCGAGCCAAUAUUUGCACAGGCUCCUCCUCAAAGGUCAAAUCAAUCUGAACUUCAAUUUCUGCAACUGGCAGGACAUUAGCAGGGUCAGCACGAUAACGCAUUAACAUGGAGACUUGAAAAACAUCGUGAAUCCUGUCUAACUCUGUUGGCAAUUCCAAUUGAUAAGCCACUGGGCCUACUCGCUUCAAAACCCGAUAAGGCCCAAUGAACUGCGGACUCAACUUGCCCUUCUUACCAAACCUUAAUAUCUUCUUCCAAGGAGAAACCUUUAAGAAGACCAUAUCACCUACUGAGUACUCAAUCUCUUUACGCUUCAAACCUGCAUACGACUUUUGCCUAUCAGAUGUUUCUCUUAACCGGUCCCUAAUUAUUCUGACAUUAUCCUCAGUAUCAGCUACCAACUCUGGUCCAAGAACUUGUCGCUCUCCUAGUUCGGUCCAACAACUAGGUGUACGACACAUUCGUCCAUACAGUGCUUCAUACGGUGCCAUUCGAAUACUCGCCUGGUAACUGUUAUUGUAUGCAAAUUCUGCCAACGGCAAGUAAUUCUCCCAACUACCUCGAAAGUCAAUCACGCAUCCCCUCAACAUGUCCUCCAGAAUCUGAAUAACCCUUUCCGAUCGACCAUCAGUCUGGGGAUGGAAAGCCGUACUAAAAUUCAAUCGCGUCCCCAACGUCUCAUGCAACCUUUGCCAAAACCGAGAUGUAAAUCUGGGAUCCCGAUCAGAAAUAAUUGAAACUAGGACUCCAUGAAGUCGUACAAUCUUCGCCACAUACAGCUUGGCUAACUUUUGAAGUGAAAAGUCAGUACGAACAGGUAUGAAAUGGGUCGAUUUGGUCAACCUAUCCAUAAUCACCCACACCGAGUCUUUUUUUGAUGGUGUCAAGGGUAGCCCACUCACAAAGUCCAUGGUUACCCUCUCCCACUUCCAAAGUGGUAUCUUCACUGACUGUAACAGUCUAGAGGGUAAUUGAUGCUCAGCUUUCACUUGCUGGCAUGUCAGACAUUUCCCUACAAACUCCGUUACUUCUCGUUUAAGUCCAGGCCACCAGUAUAAUUCUCGCAAGUCAUGAUACAACUUAUUCCCUCCAGGAUGCAUGGCACAUAGUCCCCCAUGAGCUUCCCUCAAUAUUGUCUACCUUAAAUCAGAGUCCUUCGGAACACAAAUUCUUCCUCGGAAACACAGAACUCCAUCACCAUUUAAACCGAACUUAGAAGUUUCCCAUUCCUUAACUUGUUGAAAACGAGCAACCAAAGACUCAUUUUCCAACUACUUUUCCUUAAUCUGGUCCACCCAGGUUGGCCUUACUUGCAAUUCAGCCAACAAACUGCCAUCAUACAGACUCAAACGAGCAAACAUUGCUUUCAGAUCAGAUACAGUUUUACGACUUAAACCAUCGGCUACCACAUUAGCCUUGCCUGGGUGAUACUCGAUCGAACAGUCAUAAUCCUUAAGCAACUCAAUCCAUCUCCUUUGCCUAAGGUUCAGCUCCUUCUGAGUCAACAAAUACUUAAGACUCUUGUGGUCUGUGUAUAUAAUACACCUCUCCCCGUACAAGUAAUGUCUCCAAAUCUUAAGUGCAAAUAUCACUGCCGCCAACUCCAAAUCAUGAGUAGGAUAGUUCCCUUCGUGAGGUUUAAGCUGUCGUGAUGCAUAUGCAACCACCUUACCCUCCUGCAUUAACACGCAGCCCAAACCCACGUGUGAUGCGUCACUGUACACAGUAAAAUCCUUCCCAGACUCCGGCUGAAUCAACACAGGUACUUUAGUCAAAACUUUCUUCAACUUCUCAAAAGCUUCCUGCUACUUCUCAGUCCAUACAAACGGUACUCCUUUCCUUAUGAGUUUUGUCAGAGGUGCUGCCAUCACAGAAAAACCUUCCACAAACCUUCUGUCGUAUCCUGCCAACCUUAGGAAACUUAGAAUUUCCGACACCGUCCUAGGUGGCUUCCACUCCAAAAUUGCUUCAAUCUUUUGAGGGUCCACCUUAAUCCCUUCGGCAGAGACCAUAUGUCCUAAGAAGGUUACCUCCCUCAACCAAAAUUCACACUUGCUGAACUUCGCAAAGAGUUCAUUCUCCCUUAACACUAGCAGCACUAUACGGAGAUGCUCAUCAUGUUUCACUUCAGUUUCAGAAUAUACCAGGAUAUCGUCAAUAAAGACGACUACGAACUGAUCUAAAAAUGGUUGGAACACACGAUUCAUCAGAUCCAUAAACGCUGCAGGAGCGUUCGUCAGUCCAAAUGGCAUAACCAGAAACUCGUAAUGACCAUACGGAGUCCUGAAUGCUGUCUUAUGAAUAUCUGCCUCCUUGACCCUUAACUAAUGAUAUCCAGAUCGAAGGUCGAUCUUGGAAAAUACAGAAGCCCCUCUAAGCUGGUCAAACAGAUCGUCAAUCCUUGGCAGUGGAUACUUAUUCUUAAUUGUCAGUUUGUUCAACUGGCGAUAAUCAAUGCACAUCCGCAUUGUACCAUCCUUCUUCUUCACGAAUAGCACCGGUGCUCCCCAUGGAGACACGCUUGGCCUAAUGAAGCCCCUAUCCAACAACUCUUGAAUUUGUGCCUUUAGCUCCACCAACUCCUUCGGUGCCAUUCUAUACGGUACGAUAGACACUGGUGCCGUUCCAGGCAACAAAUCUAUUCCAAACUCAACUUCUCGGUUCGGAGGCAAUCUUGGAAGCUCCUCCGGAAAAACAUCUUGGAACUCCUUUACAGUCCUAACCAUAUCCACUGACAAUCCCUCCCCUUCCGACUGACUUACAAAUGCCAAAUAGGCCUCACAACCUUUCUGAAUCCACUUCUCGGCUCUUAAUGCCAACACCACAUUGGAAAAAUAAUCCCUUCGCUCAUCUAUCACCAUAACCUCCUCAUCCUUUGUGGUCCUUAACACUAUUCGUUUAGCAGCACAAUCCAGAGCCGCCCUAUACUUAACAAGCCAGUCCAUUCCCAGAAUGAGGUCAAACUCUCCGAACGGUAACUCCAUCAGAUCUCCAGGGAAAACCUUGCCUUGAGUUUCUAAGGGUACAUCCCUAUAUAGUUUGUCUACCCUAACCGAGUGACCCAAAGGACUUAGUACAGAUACCCCACUCACAAUCUCCUUAGAGCAGUCCAAGUUAUCCAUAAUCCAUUCUGUGGCCUCCAACCAAUAUUCCGUCACAUUCGGGGCUAUACCAGACACGCCCCUAAAGAUCUUUGCUCCAUUAGCCCGAAGUCGUUCAGAAAUAGAUCCCCGAACUCUAUUGCCCAUACUUACACCGGCAACCCUUUCCAGAACACGAAGCAUUGCCUGUGACAGGGCAUCAUCCUCAGCACUGCGGUCAUGAGACUCUACCUCUGUUGUCAGUGGUACCGGUGCAUCCACCGCCGGCAUAUGUCUCGAAGACGAAGAUCUUGCUCGAGCACUUCUUCGGCUCCGUUCACGGCCUCUUGUACUCAUAUCGUAUUAUCUUGAUUACGAUUUUUUAUGCAUCAAUUAAUAUUCCAAUGUUUAUUACAGAUGUUUUAAGAAUCAGACAGUAGUUCAGAGUUUGUUUUCGUAGAAUCGAAGUCUAGCUACAGUUUCAGUCUCUUAUCAGAUUUUCCUAUGGUUUCAGUAUCAUCCUAUCUAGAGUAUCCUAGCAGGAUUUCAGUACAGACAGAUAAGUCAGAAAAAUAUUCAGAAGAGUUUAGAGUAAUACUUACAGGCUUGGGUCGGAGAUUCGGAAUGCCACCUUCUAAAUAUCUAAAUUUUGAAAAUCGAGUUUUUCGCAUUCUUUAUAAAAUUUUCGUUUUCGAAAAUCUUUGUUUUUGUAAACCUAUUCCACAGCCGAGUUGUUACAACCUAGGCUCUGAUACCACUAAAUGUAGCACCCCAAACCCGGCCCAGACGUUGUGACCGGAUCCGACAUGCCACAUCGAAGCGUUCAAAAUAUUUUAUAUUGUUGAUCCUGAAAAACUUACUUAGUGUUUUAAAAGAUAAUUUCAUUAUAGGUUAAAGUGAAUGGAAGCUGUGCACCAGGUAGGAAACCGGAAAAGAGGUGGUGAGUCCAUCGGACUGCUUAAGUACCAAGCUCCCUUCAGAUCCAAUCCUAGACAUGCAUACCGCCAUGGCCACACCUUAACGUCAUGGAUAUUUCUAGGAAACCGAUUUAAUUAAGUCAUUUUUAGGAAAAGUGGUUAAUUUUGGAAAAUACUUUCAUUGCGGAAGCUUUGUUUGUUGUCGUGUUAUUCUGAAAUCAAUUGUUGUUUUUGAAAACGCGCCCUAAAGCUAUCCAAUUUCAACAGUUAAAAUAAGUAAUACCUAUCUUAGUAAUACAUAUUAAAACCAUCAAAAAUAAUUAAGCGGCCUUAUUACAUUUAAAAACCCAAAACUUCAAACGUAAAUAAAAGGAUGUCCAGUUCACCAGAAGAAAAUCAAACUUUCAGAACGGGUGGCCACUCCGAAUUCCUUCACAGCUCCAAGCCCACUAUGGUUGGGGAUUACCUGCGUGGAUGAAAAUAAAAGGGGUGAGUUUGGGGAAACUCAGUGUGUAAGGAAAACCCAUUCAAAGCCCAAGUCAGCUCAAGCCUAUUGGGCCUAAGCCCAUUCAGGUAACAGUGGUACUGGACCAGAGCCCUUUUCAGAUUACAAUAAACUAGGCCUUAGCCCCUUAUUCAGAUAACAGUAUGGCCCAUAGGCCCAUUUUAAAAUACAUGCAACAUCAAUAACAUAUGCAAGCCCAUUUGGGGAGACUACUCAACCCACCAACCACUACACUCCACCCGUACCAGCCCUACACUCCAUGUGGGGAAUAGCUCAACCUACCCAGCCCAACACUCCACAGUUGCAGCCUUGCUGCUCAGUUAACAGUAAAUUGAGGCAAAGCCUCCAGUACAUGGACAAACCACUUUCAGUACUUCCUCCGUCAAUAUCCCAAUCCCAUGCAUCAGAUAAUAACAACAUGGCAUGCAGUAAAUAACAACAGUCAAACAUGCAUUUAGGUCAAUUUAACCCUAGGGGUAUUUCGGUAAUUUAUCUACUAGGGGUAAAACUAUAAAUUUUCCACUUUUUAAAAGUAUUUCAGUAAUUUAUCUAUUUUAGGGUUUUUCAUGCAUAUUCCUACUUUUCACGUACUAACAGAAUCACGUACCAAGGGUUCUUACCGAAUUGGGCUCGUUGGCCCAUCAUUCCAAUUUUGGCCCAUUAAGCCCAAAAAUAUCAAGGGCACAGAAAUCAUGCACUUUGCAGUCCAAAUUUUGCAGCUUACCAAAAACAUUAAUCGAUUUACCUCACGAGCAUUCGCACACUCGCAAAUCUACAAAAUACCGGUUUUCGGCAUUUCGGCUUUUCAGCUUUUGCCGAUCCAGACUAAGAAAGAGGGUGUUAGUUACACACCUGUUUGCGACGAUAUGCUGACGAGAUCCACACACGAACUGCCUACAAUUGGAUUACUAACACAUUAAUCUAACUAUUCAAAUACGAACUACGUAUUAACCCCUUACAAUAUUCGGCCAACCACACCUACAGAUCAUAGUAAGCUUAUAAGAAAACAAUAAGCAACUCAUUAACAAAUUUUUGUCAAUGUUUACCACAUAAUCAUAAUUUCACUGCAAGCUGUCUUCCUGAGCAACAGUCACUAAAUUAUUUAUAACUGGAGCUACGAAACUCCAAAUCAAGUGUCGUUAAUUUUCCCUGAAAAUAGACUCAUAUAUCUUCUAUCCAUAAAAUUUUCAGAAUUUUUGGUAUGGCCAAUCAAUACCAGAUUUUUCUUAAAGUUUCCCAUGUUUCACUGUUUGACUAAUCUGACCAUUCUUCAUUACGAAUCAAAUUUCUCAUUGUAAAGAAUUCAAAAUAUGUUCUCAUUUAUUCCAUUUGACACUAGACUCAACAAUCUUUAAUUACAUACUUUAUUCAGCUUCUAAUUCAUCUCCCAUAAUUUAUGGUGAUUUUUCAAAGUCACGUUACUGCUGCUGUCCCAAGCAGAUUUAUUACCAAAUUCACUCUUUCACACAUAACUUGCAUGCAUGUUAUUUAAACAUGUAUAUCACCAAUCAAUCAUCUCAUAUCUAUGAUUUUACUUAAGUAUAAUCUCUAUUUCAUCAUUUUAAAGCACAACAUGUUAGCCGAUUUUUCCCUUUAGCAUCUAAGGCACGUGCAUGUUCAUUUGUUUGGCUCAACUUCACCUAUCUUCCAUUUUUCAUCAAAAGAACAUGAAACAACAACCAUUUCCUUCAUUUUAAUUCAUGACUAAAUGCUCACAACACAACUAAAAACCAAAAUAUGCUUCAAGAGUUAAGGUAGAAUCAAGAAGAACUCAUGAACCUCAAAAUAAAAGCAAACUACCAUGAACUUACCUUCAAUUUUUCUUCCCCAAGUGACCGAACAUUCAAGAGCUUUCUCCUCUCCUUUCUCUUCUCUAACUUUAGGCUAUGAUGAACAAAGAUGGACAAAACUUUGUUCUUUUCACCCCUUUUUUUAAUAAAAUUUCAUAUUUCAUCCAUUUAAUUCUUUAAUACAAAAGACAUGAAAUUCCCAUCUUGGAACAUUUACCUAACCCAUUAUCAAUUUGUACAAUGAAUUAUGGAUAUCAAGUGCUCAUAUUGUCUACAACAACAUGAUGGCUGGCCACUUCAUGUAAAAUGGGAGGUUUGUCAUGCAAAUCCUCCUAUUUUGCACUCCUAUUUAUUUGGCCACUUCAAUUUAGCCUAUAGCAUUUUCAAACAUUUUCACAUAGGUUCUAUUUAAUAAUUUCACCCCCUUUUUCUUAUGGAACAAAAAUUAACUAAAAUUGGCGGGUUUUAUCUUAAGCUUGGGCCUUCUAAAGGCCCACUAACAUAAUUAAACCUAUGCCAACAUUCACAGAAUUCCCAAAAGUUGGGGCGUUACAAUUCUAAUGCUCGUAUUGGGCCUCAAAGGUCCAUUUAAGGGACAUUUUGAAUAAUCUCGAAAAAUGAACAAUGAUUGACAACAUUUAUCUGUAAAUGUUCUAAAAGCUCCAGUAAUGCUCUGUAACUCUGUUACGAUGAUGGACACGGGUUAGGGGUGUUAUAGACAAUGCGAAAAUGAAUAAUAAAAAUGAUGCUGAAUCAAUUUUGACAUAUCAGAUUGAUGAUUGUGACGAAUCUAAACUAUAAAGGGAUAUUAACAUUGUCUUUAUUAUAAUCCAUAUUGAGGAAUUUGUUGCUAGAAUUUAUUGCUAUUGAUAUUCAUUACUAAACUUUAAGUCAAUGAUUUUGUUUUGAUAUUUAUAUGUAGUCUUGUGGUUAAUUUUUUAAAAAAAUAUAUGUAUUUUGUUAAAUACGUAAUCUCUAGUAUGAGUUGCAUCCUUUUUGUGAAUUGUGACACUCAUUACUUGAUUAUUGGAUAUCUUUUUGGGGGGAGAGAAAUAAUAGCUGGAUGAGGAUAACCCACUUUAUUACAAGUUAACUUUCAAAUGUAUUUACAAACUUAAUGAGAAUAAUCAAGUGUUAUAUACCAUAUAAUAUUUUAAUUUGAAACAAAGUCCCACUAGGACAAUCAAUUAGACUAAAUGAUAGAUUGAUCAGUUCCAAAAACGAAAAUUCUUCUAGAUGGUUAUAUAGUAGAGGCGGGUGCUCCAGAAGAGACCCAAGACAUAACUAAUAACUAAAACUCCAUAAGAGAUUCAGAUACCUGAAACUAAAUAUUAAAAUAGUGAAAAAAAAAUAGGUAAGUUAUGUCAAUUCAAGAAAAUGUGGAAUCGAUAAUGAAAUUGGUCAACAAUAGCUUUACAUGUAAUAUUAUUGUUGAAAUAAUGAAAUAAAAGGAGAAUCUUGAAUAAAUAUAUUGAGAAAUAUAGAUAUGAAAUAUAUUGGUCAAAAUAAAAAGACGUAACUCAAGUACAAUUAAAUUUGUGGAGUUUUUGGACUAGUAAUCCAAAUAUCUAAAUAUAUAUAGGCAGUUAGUGUACAAAUGAAGUAGUUUUGCAAAAACGAAAUAAAAAUAUAAAGGUUUUCGCUAAGCCCUGUCGUUGAUUAUGAAAAGAUAUAAUAUUCUUUUGUGGUGGAUGCAAUAACCUUUAGAUAUAUUAUUGAACUGACAGUUCAUGAAAGAUUUAACACACGUCUAAUGGUUGUUACAACCUUUUAUAUGAAUCACUAUAUAGUAAAGUUUAUAUUAAAAUCUUUGAAGAAUUUAAAAUGCUAGAAACAUAUAGAAAUUCUCGAGAAAUUGUUCAUUGAAAUUUUUUGAAUAUAUGUGGUAAAUUUGACUUAGUGAAUAGUAGUUGAAGGAGGACUGUAAGAUGAUCCAAAAUACCUAUUUGUAUUUUUAUAGAAGAAUCAUGAUUAAAGUUAAAUAUGAAUAUUGUUGAAACUCUUAAAGAGAUCAAAAUAUAUUUUUCGAAAAUUUUCCCUCGCUCAUGACUUUAAAAAGAUUGGUGAUAUAAAUGUUUAGCAAAUACAUUCAAAUAGUCAUUUGAAAAGCUAGUACUCAAGAUUGACUAUGUAGAAUAUGAAAUAUUGUGUGAUGUUUUUGCGAGGGAGAGUAAAUACGCUUUGUACUCUUUUCCCUUAACCAAAGUUUUGUCCCAUUAGAUUUUCCUAGUAAGGUUUUUAAUGAACCGGCAUUUUAUACGUAUUAUAGAAAUGUGUACUAUUUUUCAUUUACUAGGAAUUUUUUCCCCACAAGGUUUUAUAUUAGUAAGGUUUUAACAAAACAUAUUAUCUACCAAUAGACAUUUAAGGAGAGUCUUAUGAAUAUUUUAUUAUUAAGUGGAUGUCAUCAAGACCAAAAUAAGUUUUGAUAUACUUUAAAUUCUAAUAGUCAUUAGAAGUAGAGUUCUAUUUCAUUUAUACUUCUUAUGUCUAUAAAUAUAGACUUUAAAGAGGCAUUGUAGAUUAUUUCUAUUGAUCAAUAAAAUACUCUCUCUUUUGCUUUCCUAUUUUCUUUAAUCUUUGCUCUCUACCUUUUUAUUUUAUAACAAAAACAAUUUUGUUCCCCUCUAUCAGUUUUAAUUAACUUUUUGAGGUUCAUUCUACGUUAAUUUAAAUUAAUUUUUGGAUAGUGAUUAAUAGAUUUAAAUUGUGUACAAUUUGAAUUUUUCAUAGGGGUGUUAUAGUCUUGAAGUUUUCAAAUUUCAAAGUGAGCCUAUUUUUAGUAAAAUUAUUUAUUCCGCUUAAGAUUAUUUGUUAAUAGGAUCAAUUAUAAUGAAACAUUUGAAUCACCUCUAAAACCCCAUAAUAUUGACUCUUUGUUAAGAGUUUUUCCAUAUAAAAAAUCGCAGUGUUUAACAUAUUCGGUUUAAACCAACAAAAAUGAAGAUAAGACACGCCAAAUCUACAUUAAUUUAAUUUCAUGGAACUCUACUUGCCUAGACGAUUUUUAUUUCACAUUGGCAUUGGGGAGGUAAGAACAUACAUGUCUCAUACUGCUAUUUCUCCGGUAAAGAACAGCGGCUAGGAUUUGUUUGUGAAAAAAGCAAGAUUUACACGGGGGAAGGAAUUCUAACACUCGGGUGCUUCAAUUUCUAUAUAUACAAUGCAAGUGGGACGAUCUCCUGUACAAAUGGAAUCCUAAUAUUCUAUAUAAACUGCCUACCAUUGAUUCUAUAUCUUGCUUGCACUUCCAUGAAUAACUAGUAACCCACCAAAACGAAGACACUAACUUGUAUCUUCCUGCUACCUAAUCCAACGCAGCAGCCGUCGGUCUUAACCUGGAAUUUCGACACCAACCAUCUCCUCUUUUUACGUAAAUUUCCUAUACGACUCAGGGAACAACCUUGAGUAAAUAACUUCCUUGAGUCUUACUACUAAAGCAUAGAUGCCAUAGGCUGGUAAGUGCAUCAUUCCGACUCCUAAGUACCUGUUCAGUCCGAAAUAGAAGCCGAGACGGAAUCAUGGUUAGCAAUGUACGUGUGUCUGUAGCAAAACAAACAUAACAGCAGUGAUUUUAAUGGAAGCAUUAAGUGUGUACCAUAACGGAGCAUAAGAAGGUGUCAAGUCAAGGAAUGGAUAUGGCCACGGAAUGUUAGAAUAAGCGUGGAGGACCCAUUGGAAUAAAACAUAAAUGCAGGUCCAUAAGAAAAAAUAUGCGACUCGAAAAAAUGGUAGCCGCUGCAAGGAAAAGGUAAAAAUUAGCUUCGUAAUUGAUCGCAAGGCAUAAGAAGUAAGAUGCCGCUAUGAGUAUCGACAAAAGAAAACUCACCAAGCAAUUCAAAAUUGUGUCACCAAGUAGGAAAACGACAUUGACCGAGUGCAUACAUAUAACAAGCAUCUGCAGUUGAAAGAGUGGACAUAAAUCCCAGAUAUAAAAGAAGAGCAACUCAACACUCAUUACACGAAAAGCUAACUGGCAACAGGUGAAAAUUCAGCAAAGUGUUUCCAUUUUCUAUAACCUAAGUUACUUGAUGGUAAAACCAACAAUUGAGGCACGGUAAAUGAUAGUUGCGAAUAAGUGCAGGAACCAAAAGACAUAUAACCAAACUUUUUUUACAAUAUUUAAGGAUAUAUAGUCUCAUAAGAGUCAGAGACAGUCAACAACUUUCAUUGUGUUCUGUUGUAAUUUGAGAACACUAAUUAAGUAAAUGUUGCAUGCCUGUUUUUUUUUAGGUUUACGGCGCACUGUAAUGCUGCAUUGUAAUAGAGAUAUUAAGGUAAAAUGGUAAAACUUCAUAAUUCAAAUGCUCAUACUUACCAAUUCAAGACCGUAUCCGGAAGUUAUAAAUGGAAAAAGAAUGAUCCAAAAUACUAAAUCAGUGAGCACCGCUGCACCCGCAGAAGCCUAUUCAAAGACAGCAUAUAACAAAUCAUGAAGUCAAUACACCCGAAAUUCGAACAACAUUGGAAAUUGAUUAGGAUUAAAAAAAAAAUAUACCUGAUAGAUAAUUUGAAAGGUAUAAAUCCAUGGACCAGCUAUUUUGCAGUCAUCAAAAUGUUGGGACUCGUUGGACGCAACUGUAGUUUCUCCAGGAGUGGGAGUUACUUCAGUGCCUUGCUCGAUAUCUGAACUUACAUGAUCAGGGCUAUCACCAAGAGCUUGUGCCCAGAUUUUUUGACAUCCGUAUAUGGAGACUGCAGAUCCAAGCUACAAUGAUAGUAGAGAAGAUCGACAAGUUAUGAAAGGAUAUUCUAGCAAUCUAAAACUGAUGGAACACCGUACUUGGAAACGAACAUAGAGAAAUGAUAAAAACGGUACAAGAGACAUACCAGAAAGUAUAUUGUGACCAAAGUAAAUGUCCACCUGUUAUAAUAAAAUAUAAACCAAAAAUUCAGCAACAAUAAUAUAGAUCAAAGGGAAACUCUUCAAUUCAAACUCCACGGUGAGGACUCUCAUUACAAAAAGAAAUAGACAACAUAGCUCUGUUAUACAUGGGUUACAACAUGCUCAUAAUAAGGAAACAAUUUCAGACAUUUACAUGCAUGUAAAGUAAAAGAAUAGGGUAAGUUGCAGAGAUAUAUGACUCACUGAGUAUAAAAGAUAAAUAUGCCAAUUCCAUCGACAAUGACAUUAAUGACAAGCAAUGUUAGAAGUGUGAUGAAAGCAAACAUUCUAAAAGCAAGCAGCCAAGCAGGGUGAAUGCAUUUGAAACAUGUACUCCAAGCUUCCUCCUCAUAUAUCACCCCUGGAGCUACCUCCUGAUUUUCCCUAUCCUGAUUUCUCGAUCUUCUUCGACCUUCGAAUUUGCAAAUUAAAAUUGUUGCUAGAGCCAAAUAGGCUAAGAGGAAUAAUGAACAAACUAGGAACCUCCAAUUCAACCAGUAACUCAAGGUGUUGGUUAUGGCAGUCAUGAUAGGCUGCCAAGAAUGUGUUGAGGAUCCUGUGAAGAUAACUGUAAUAAAAUUAAUCCUACUUGCUCCAUUGGUUACCGUAGUUUCUUUAUUAACAUUUCAAAUGCAGAAUGUUCAAAGAACAAUAAUGCCUAUCUACCCCAAAAUCAACUUAACUAAGUACAACAUGAUAUCGUUCAAAAAGGGUAGCUCUUAAAUUCAAAUAAAAACUGAAAACCAAACAGCUGAAAGCAAUUGAAUAAUCUUCAGCUGCCAAAAGGAUAGUGUCUUAAAAAGGAAAAACACAGAAAAUCUUUUUGAUAUAAAAUUUAGAUAAAUAUUAUUAAAAUUCUGGCUAAUGUUAUAGAAUUUUGCAAGGAGCUCUAGGAAGGAAUACCAUAAAUUUUUUUUUUAAAUCACAAAACAUAAAAUUAGAUUAGAAAAAUAAACAAGAUUCCAUACUUUAAAUGGUUCUUUCCAUAAAGCUGAGAUCAUAUUAAAAAUGGAAAAAUAGAAGGUUGACAUCAAAGAAAAAAGAAAGAUGGGCUUUAAGGCGCUUAAAAUUUACCUGUGUGGAAGAAAUUAGUCAAUGAAGCCGGCUGGGGCAGAGGGAAGACCCGUUUGGGCAGGUGAUCGGCGGUAUUGGGACUUUCUGAUUUCUUUAAAUUUCAGACAAUGGCAAUGGCAAUGGCAAUGGUUAUAUAAUUUGUUAUUGUUAUUUAUUAUUGAAUUAGAGGUUUAAUUGACGAGAAACAAAGAUUUCAUCCGAAAAAACAGACAGUGAAUUCGCAACCACAAGAGAAGACAAAGAUUUUCUCCAAAAUUCUUGGGACUUGGUUGUCUUCACUUAUAAUCCAAUUAUUAUAUAUAUAUUAUAGAAUAAUAAUUUUUAUCAUUUAUUAAAAAAAAGGAAAGAUUUUUCAACCUCAACAUGCAAAAACAAACUCGUUACAUGCUACUUAAUUUACUGGAUAAUCUUGUUAAAAAAACACUAUUAAACAAUUGUAUAACUAAUUAACUUUAUAUUAGUUUACGUUGAUGGCGUAGUUAAUUACAAACUAAGUGUAAACUUUAUUUCUAUUUUAAUAUGCUAAACAAGUUUAUGAAAAGACCAAAAAGAAAUUAUUCUACAAAAUACAAUAAUAAUAGCAAUUUACUGUUAAGGAAUUCUUUUAAAAAUAAUUUUUAUGUUUUCCGCUGUAUUUCUCAUAAUAUUAAAUUGAUUAAUAGUCUGAAAUAGUUCUUAUUUUUAUUUAGAAUUUUGUAAAUAAAAAAGAUUUAUGAUUAUGAUAUAGGUGGUAAUUAUAAAUGUGUUACCAUGAUUUUUUUUUUUAAAGGAGCAUGGAUGCUUCAUACUAUAAAUUUUUGAUAAUUCAAUCAAUAUUUUUAGGCAAAACAGGAGAUAUCUCGAUCGGGCGAGAGAACGGAGAAAUCCGACUCAAUAUAUUUGACAAAUCACACUAUAUGUUAAACCAAAUUGCAUCUUCCUCUCCUAGAUUUUGAAAAGAAACUUUUAAAACAUCAAUAGAGAUUAAAGAAAAAAAUAUUGAUUUGGAAGCGUAAUAAUGGUGUUAAUAAUAUUGACCUCCUAUUUUAUACAUAGAUAGAAUAAGGCCAUGCUUUAUCCUAUCCUUGAAUUCUAAUGCUACAAUUUUACCAUAAAAGUUUUCUUUUGAUAUAAUACUUAUAUUCUAAAAUAUUUUUAUCUAAGUAAUAAUAUAACGAAUUGUGGGUGUUAAGUUAAAAUUAAUUUAAUCUUUAUACAAUUUAAAUAUCCAUCAUUACAAAUUUGGAUGACAUAAGACUCCCACCUUUGAUUUUGUUAUACUAAUGUCCCGCCAAACACCACAUUGCCUAAAGACCUCAUCCAUUUACGGAACUCCCUCGUAUCUUAUUAAAAGCUCUGUUCAGAUUUUAUUUUUUCUAUUUUUACAAAUUUCUUUAAUUUAUUAGUUUUAUAUUCUAAAAUAUUCAAUAAAUUUAGCCUUAAUAUUUAUACAUUCACAUAAAUAUUGUAAGUCAAGUUUAUUAAAUCAUUAUCAAAUUGAUAUAAUCUGUAAACUUUAAGAAUUUAUUUAUUAUUAUAUCAAUUAAAAUUACGUGCAACUCACAGAAAAUAUUAACGUCAUAGUUAAUAAUCUUUAAUUACUUACUUUCUAAAAUAACAGAGAUUAAAUUACUUUAAUUUUUCUGAGAAGAAUCAAUUUACUUAAUUUCAAAAUUGAGAUGAAUUAAAUAGAUCUUUUUACCAAAUUUUUACAUAUCAAAUAUUUUUUACCUACAUUGUGGAUAUAGUAAAAUUUUAAUAUUUUAAAAUUAAAUAUUUAUUUCAAAUAUCAUUAUUUGAAAUAAAUAUGAUUUUUAUAUAUGAAUUUUUUUUUUGUAAGUGUGACAAAUUUUUAUAAAAUUAAAAUUGGCUCAUCUAUAACUAAGCCUUCGAACUUAAUACAAUAAUAAAAAAAAAUUUCUCUAAAUUUUUUACACUCAAUUGAGUCCUAAACUAAUAAAAUCAAACAAAUAAACCCUUUAACUAAUAUUGACCGUUAAUAUUAUCGUUACUAUUUAACGAUAAUAUUGACGAAACGAUUAACCAACACCGCAUUAACACUAAUUGCUAACAUAACUGUCAUAUCAAUAUCAAUUUACCGAUAUGACAAUGUCACAUCAGCAAAAAAAAUUAAAAUUAUUUUAAAAUAAAUAUACAAUUGUCAUUCAUUUACUAAGAUAAAUGUUGUCCAAGUCCAUUAAAAUCUGGACACCCAUUUUAUCUAAAUAUAUUUUGAAAUUAUAAAGACAUUAAAAAAUUAUAAAAAAUAUUAAAAAUCUUCUUCUUUCUCAUAAAUAAGUAAUGAGAAAAUGAAACAAAAGCAGCAGCGAUGAAAAGAGAGGGCAUAUGAAGAAUCCUACAUAGAUAUGUACAUUUUCUGAUUUUCCUGAUGAAGGAAAACGUGUAAAAAAUAAAUAUAUAGUAGUAUUUGAUAUAUUAUGCUUCAAACAGUAAAUUUUCGAUUUAUUGAGAAAUUGAAGGACUUAAAUGGGAUAUAAAUUUUAAAUCUACAGCUACGCAACACAAGUAGCUUGCCGUUUAGGGACAUGUAUAAUCACACCUCUCUUUCUACUCAGCCCCUAAUGAUGAAAUUAAUUUCAGUAGAUAUAUAUAACUACAGAAAUUGCAGCUCAGCAGGCUGACCUUGGCUGAUGAUCUGCCCUUAUAAACUUCAUUUUGAUUCCCUUCGGAGCCUUUCUGCUAUGUUGUCAACAGGUAAUAACCCUAGCGGGAUCGAUGGAUCGACCUCUUCAAAUGAGUUGUCAUCGUAAUACUCAUCAUCAAUGAUGUCAUCACUGCUGUAAAUGUCAUUUUCAUCCUCACUGUAAGAACCACCUUUGAACUCUGCCGAGGAACUACUGGAAGAACCAUCUUCGCUGGACAGGACUAAUGCUUCACAGGAAUGCUCUAUGGCCAGAGACAUGCCUUCAAAUUCCUCCACCUUAUCCAGAACAGCAUCCGGACCCAAAGCAAGCUCUUCCAAUAACAAUGCCUUGUUUGACUCGAUUGCACGCCUCCAGAGGGACAUCAUUUUUGGGCUUGAUACAACCCUUUGGGAAUCAGGUGUACCACUAUCAUCACUAGAUUUGGCUGCAAUGCAUCAACAAACCUUUAGAACUUGAAUAUGCAUUCAUAAAAAAUUCAAAACUGCAAUACAAUGGAACAUAACAAUCAAGCAAGUUAUCCAGGAAAACUAGAAGAGGUGGCCCAGCAGAUACUGUCCAAUACUAUUAUUCUAUUAACCUUCACCACAUGGUAAAAGAUAACUACGUCUACAUCAUUUCAAAAUUUAAGAAGAGCAGAGAAUGAACUUUCUAGGAAUGCUGCUCUUCCAACAUAUAAUACGGGCCAUUGCAGCUUUCCCAAAUAUUUCGACUGUAAACUUGUACAUAAUAGCCUUUACCCAGAGGAUAAAAAAAAAUUUGCCUGGUUAUCUUGUCAGGCAACAUAACUUGAAUGCCACUAGAGUCAUGCUGCACUGGCUCCUAAUGACCAGAUAAAACUUCCUUGAUUUUAAUUGAAAACCAUAAAUCAUAUAACAGCUUGGAGUGGGUUGCAUAGUAUAUUCCUUACAAAUUGCAGAUUCUGUACAUGACACUGUUUGUGAUAGGCCUUCCAUGUAAACCUAAUGACAGCUUAAUAUCUUGAUUUUAGGACAAAUUUAACCAAUAGACUCCCUUGAGAACUUGUAACCUGUCCCUCUUAAUUUUCAAAGAAAAACAGUAAAAAAAAGGCACACUAAUACUCUCUGUAAUGCAUACCUGAAUUAUCUAUACCACUUAAAAUGUCAGCUUUAACAGGAACUAAAUUUGAAGAAGUGUCCCCAUACAUAGAUUUCCAAUCCCGUCCUCUCCACAUCAAAAUUUGUUCAUCAUCAAAAGAUAAUAAAAUGCAAGGAACCAAUUCCUGCCAAAUAAGGAAGGACAGGCCACAAUUAUUAGGCAACCCAUAAAGAAAUUAGUAGAAUGACCAAAAAACAUAACAGAUAUCAUUCUGAACUCAUAUCUUGUCUGUACACUUCAUAUUCUGACAAGCACCAUAUGUUUUUAUAAUGUUGCAUUGGAGUAUAUUAGUUUCUUGUAUUUCAUAUGCUUUUAUAUAGGAUUGUUUUGGGCAUGUUUAAGUGUCUGUCAAUAAGUAGGAAGAUGUAUCAGAGUUGAAGACAACAUUAAGAAAAAGUUCUUGAUGGCAUUCAUACGGUUUUGCAUAAAAAUUAUUUAAUUCAAACUACUAAGUAAAAAUCUAGUCAUUUAUGAAAACUAGUCAUUUAAUUCAUGAAAAUAUAGUCAUUUAUCACAAGCUCAGAUCUCCUAAAACCAACUCAAGAUCCUUUGUUAUCUCACAUUUUUGCAUGAAACAAACGUUACGAAUUAAUAGUUCCUUAAAGUUUUUUGUAUUCUCCUGGUUUUGGUUAAUGAGUCUCAAACAAGUCUUCAAGAACGUCAAAACAAUUAGGCCUUAAAACAAAGACAAAUUAUAAAGCCCAUGAAAUAGCAAAAGAAUGCGACGAACCUUUAGCUUAGCACCUAUCUUCUUGUAGUCACUUGGUUGCAACCCUUUGCAGUCAAUCUUCACCAAAGGGCACUCUUCAAAAGCAUCUCUAACAUCUUUCACUAGGGAAGCAUACAUACCAUUUUUUGCUGCAACAUGAACAAAAAAGGUUACUACUUCUAAAGUAGGCAAAAGCAUAUGGUAAAAUCUCCCUAAAAACCAAGUAACAAAAGCAAACAAUUGCCAAAAAAUGCAAACCAUGCUCAACUAAUUGUUGUCUUACCUAAUGUACAUAUGGGUAGAAGAGACUUCCCUUUCUUCCGAAACUCAUCUGCUUCAGCUUUUGUCAAUCCUUCUGGAGCUUCUUGGAUAAGUUUUGGAUAGACUGGAGUAGCUGGUUUCCAAAGCAUCACUGGGUACUGUGGACGAGUACGAUAGUUGUAGUUUCGUCCCCGGAAAAGAUAAACAACACCACCAACUCGAUGAAUGAUUUUUCCUCCAGUUUUUUCCUGAUGUUAAGAAUAAACUUGAGAGAGAAGGAAAUAAGAGGUUUGUCUAUUUUCCUAAGUAAGACAUGUGACAUGUCCAUUCAAAUGCUAAAGGCAAUUUUAAUAUUACACUUAAAGCUAUGAUCAUACACACCUAUCUUAACAAACAUUGGAUGCCAACUUACUUCUAGAAGAACUUUAUUUGUUGGAGUGGAUAACAACUCUACGAUAGGAAACUAACUGGCCAACAGAACAUGUUUCUCCUUUUGCAGCACAAAUCAAUCAAAAUAUACUGAAUCUACAUUCUCAAAGGAGAAAGUGUGCGGAGUGCAUCCUCUAAAAUCACAGAAAGAGAUGUAAAUUCAAUUUCCAAACCACCUGAAUUCGACAUGUGAGUAAUGCAGCAGAAUAUUGAGUUUCUUAUUCCAUCAUUGUUAUCAAAAUAAAGACGACUAUCAUAUAAACACCCAAGGGCAAUGCUACACAGUUAACAAAAAUAGAAAUGGGAAACAUGGCUCUGCAGGGUUAUGUACAAUUCAAAUGAUUGAAAGCAAAAAAGAGCGUUAAAAGACAAUUACUUCAAUAUGACGACAAACAUUAUCCAUGUCCACGGUGGGAACUCCCUUGCACUUGAUUUUGCAAACACGACGUCGUUUCCAAUGAGUGUGUAUCAAAUCCAACAUGUUAUGCGUCAAUCCAUCCCUCCCUAAGUCCAAAAAGAAUACGAAUUAAUUAAAACACUAAACCCCAAAUCAAAAACACCUUCAUGACACGUCUACCAUUGUAAACUCACCGAGAUUAACCUGACGGUUAUCGGAUAAUAGUGGUUUAACCAGCAUCUUAAUCUCCCAUUUCUUCAACGGCUCUCCUAAUAUUUCCUCUCUCGUUUUCCCUUCCUUAGGAUAUUUCCCGAACGGAAAGGGGCCUGGCUUUUCCACGUGUUUCACGCCUUUUUUACCUGGGGGAGGAGGGUUAAACGAAUCGAAAAGCGGGAUAUUCUUCUUUGAUUUCUUCAACGGAGCCUUCCCUGUCCAUGGCCGCGGCAUCGUCGGUGGAGCAAAGGGCAAAUAAGCUGGCUCUCGAAUAGCUAUAGGCUCAGCGUUGGGCGUCUCGGAGUAACUGUACUGGAACUCGAAAGGAGCGCCGGGGAGCUUAUAGGAGACGCCGUUUUCGCCGACGAUGACGCAUCGAUCACCGUCGGUUGAGAUGACGCCCUUUUGGACGGGCUUGCGGUAAUUGGAGCGGCGGUGAGGGAUGGAGAGGGCGGGGUUUGAACGGGGAACGUUAGUUUUGGGAUUUCGACUACGGGGAGGAGGAUAUUUGGGGAUAGGGAUGGGAGGGGAUGGAGAAGGAGUGGAUGAAGUGGUGUCGUUUUGGGGUGGAUUUGAAGGGAGGGAAGAGAGGAGGUUGAGUCCUGGGAGUGAGGCUAGAAUGGGCAUUGAAAAUGAAAUGUUGAACUUAAGAUUGUUUCAGUUUGGAGUUCAAGAGAACGUAGUGAAGUGGAUAAUUUCUUCCGCCUCUUCGGUUUGAAGAAGAAGGCGAUGAGCGAGCCAUCCAACCAGAAGAUUGCACUAGAUAUUUUUUUCCCGCUGACAAAAUGAAAAACGACAGCGUUGUAGUGGCCAUCAACAAUCGAGAAUUCCACGUCGGAUUUAGUGGCACGUUUUGCUUUUCGCAACGCAUUGAAAAAUUGCACAUCAUAAUCUUGAACAGGUUUCAAAACAUAAAUAUUUUCUUCUGUUUGCUAAAUAAUGAGAUGUUAUAAUUUUGAACUUACCAUUAAAUAAAUAUUUAACAGAUAUAUGAAUUUGAAUAAUAAUUAAUGUUAUAUUUAUGUGUUCCAUCUUCUAUUCGCAAACUAGAGAGAAAAAAAAAACAUAAUUAUUGAAAAUUAAGGAAAGGACGAAUGUUUUAUGCUCGAUAAAUUGUUAAGAAUAAUGCAGAAGUAAUGAAAAUGUUUUACCCCAAUGAUUGGAAAUUUUUGGCUCGUACGAGGUAGUUUUUAAGUUGACUUUUAUAUAGAACUCUGUUUUAAUGAAAAUGAAAAUGAGAUUCAGGUUUAAAUGACUUCAUAAAUCAGCGUAUGUAUAUAAUUUUUGUCGUUUUUUUUCUCCGAUGCACUGUCAUGGUGUUUAUGUUGUAUUGCAAUAAAAAAACAUACAGAACUAGUUCUAUUUAAACCCUUCAACUUGUCUGCCUACAAAGUUCAGAGUUUAAAACCAUGGUCCUCGUUACACAAAAAACUGAGAAUCCUAAACAGGCACUCGCAUAACUGAAACGGAACAUUGCAGGUAAGCGCUACUUGUUUCCUCAACUGGUCUCUGAUUUCUCCAAUGCUGCAACAACAAAUAAGCAGUCACUGGAACACUGACACAUAAAGAUGCAGAUAAACAUGAAAAACUUAGGAGUCGAAGCAAAUCAAGGGCAGGGGAGGGAGAAGAGAGAGAUUACUGUUGUAGUUCAGAAGCUUCUCGAUUAGAUCGACAUGAGUCAUAAGCAUUCUCCUACAGCAAUAUCGAACCAAGCCCAAAGCAUCAAGAGCAUCGCUGCAUGCCAAACAGAAGAAAAUUUUAUUCUCUGCAAAUCAAAGGAAUACUUCGGUUCAUAGAUCAACAGUAAUAAUUAAAUAGGAUUAUAGUUCAUAUCAACUUGCAACAUAAAAUUUACCAAAUACAUGUUCAUUGCUUUGAUACAUUUCCGAUAAUCUAUACCAUUGCCAGAGGUUAUACUUUUGUACUCAAAGGAACAGUGACAGCAUGCAAAACAUGGUUUCCGCAAUCAGGAAAACUCCACAAUAAGUUCAACUUUCAGAGGACAAAACUCACAAAGACUCUUGAAGUUUCAAUGUUUACAUUUAGACUUGCAUUUUUCGUAAUGAGUUGCUUACCGUCAUAUAUUGAUGUUCAAUUCCGCAAAUGGCACUAGUUCAAAUAAAUCAACGGGGAUGCAUAACUUAACCAUGUGAAUGAGGAAAUAAUAAGAUUUUCAGAGGGUCAAAGAUAAUUAGCUAAGAUAAUUUUAAAGUAAAAAUAAAAAAGGCAAUUCAAACCCUGUACCCCCAUCCUCAAUAUUGUAUAAAAAUAAUAUUUUUAAAGCUCUUGUCAGACACCCAUUAGACACGGGUAAGUUCAAAUCCUGUCACUUCCAUUCCCCAACCCCAAUAUUAUAUAAAAAUAAAAAUAAAAAGACAAUUUGGAUAUAAUUUGCAUUUAGCUAAAGCAUUUCUUGCCUUACAAAUAUAUCCCUCCAACUCCAGAACUUUCACCUUCUCUCUACCAAUCAAGCAAGCCAUUUCCUCCCUUGAAUUUUCAUACAAUGUUGAAUCUCCAAGGACUAUUUCAAGCAUCUCCGUUUAAGUGACUACAAUCUUGCUUCAAAAUGUUUCUAAUUGUGAAUGUUUUGCACCACAUAAAUCACUAAAACAGCCAAUCAACCAAAAUACAAAACAGAGGAAAAACAAAAAGAAUUACCAAAAAGGAGAGUCUAGUACUAGCAACAUUUAUGCAAGAACUUGUGGUGAUACAGAGCUUCUUUAUCACAUUUACCUAGACUUCCAAUGCCUUUCAAGGUAGAUAGGGCACCAUAUGCCCAUGUUUAUUCCAGCCUUAUCAGUUGGCAUAACCAGGUACAAUGUGGAAAACAAAAAAAAGCUAAGGUUAACAGUCAAAAGUAAACUUGGAGAAGGGUUUUCAGUUGAAAGCUCAAAGGCUACUCUCUACCACAUGAAUCUUUCGAGUACAAAAAAGUAACUUGUAAUUGAGAAUUCAUGAUUAGAGUUUUCACCAUUUGUUCGCUAUUUUUCCUAGACUGAUUUGUAUAAGGUGGAAAGUUGGUACUCAUACAGGCAAAGGCUUUUUGCCUAUUUCACCAAAAAUAUUAUCGAUUUCCAUUAUAAAUAAAAUGAACAUCAAUACAUCACAUUGUACACGACUGAAGGUUUGAGGAACCAAUUCCUAACUACGAAAGCAGGAAUGUAUCUGUAUUUUGUGGUUAAGGAGAUACAGAAUAUUCCUAAAAAAUUCAAUUGCCCAAAAAAGAAAAAAUAUUUUUGGUUGAUACAAUGUCUAGACAACCCAUAAUCCCCCAAACCCCAAAGUGGACCCAAAUAAGAUUCCUUAAGUGCUCUUAAAAGAUAUCCAUCAAUCAAACACACCAGUUUCGGGCGAUUUACACUGAAAACAGAAUAUUCAUGGCAACGAUGCAGUCACUUAAUUGCUUCAGAACUAUUAAAUAAGAGAUAGAUUGAUGCAAACCCUUCAGUAUAGUCGGCCUGGAGAAGAUCAAGGUAGGUGUCCCAUUUGUUACCAAUAACCUGCAGAUACGGAAUCCAAAUAUACUAGUUGAGAAACAGAUUCACCAAAGCCCUAAACCCACUUGAGAAGUACGAAAAAUACCUUCCCGCAUGUGAAGCAACGGACUGGGAUUAUCAUCCUGCUCGGCUAAUACGUCUUUUUCUUCUUCGUCUUGUUUUAAAGAUUUGCCCUAGCUAGUUACACCCACUGCUCCCUUUUUCGCUUUGCGCGCUCUCGUCUUCAGCCCUACAUGGCUUUAAGUACGGGGGUUUGCAGUUUUCACGAAAAUACCCUUGUUCUAAAUUUGACUUGUCCAAAAGUGCCUGAUAUUAUUCCAACUCAAAAAGUUCGGUUUAAUAUUAAAAAAGGAAAGAAUAAGUUUGCUUUUAAUUUGUUGACUUAAAUUUUUAUUUUUAUUUUUAGACAUAUUUUUUUAAUAAGUUUAUAUUUUUAAAAAAAAUUAUAAGAGUUUUAAGUUAUUGUUAUUUAUAUUAUUAAUAAAAUCUUUGAUUAAAUUGGUGCCACAUGUCAAUUGGGCACUAAUUAAAUAAGGAAAUUACAAAAAUUAAAAAAUAAAUAAAAAUAUGCAUUUGGUGGAAUUUUAACCCAUGUCAAUUACACUAAAAAAAUUAUAAAUUCACCAUUUAACCAAAAAUUUAUUUUAAUUAAGUUAUACAUUUUAAUUUUGUUAUGUAAAAUUUAUUUUGAUUAAUUUAUACAUUCUAACUUUUAUGUUCUAAAAUUGUAAUUUCUAUUAUUUAUUAUUUAUAAUAUAUUAUUUUUAAACAUAUAUCUAGAUUUUAAAUUUUUAUUUUUCACACCCAUAUAUGUGUGAUAAGAUUUCUAAUUAUUAUUGCUAUAAAUAGAAGAAAGAAAAUAUACACAUGAAUAUCUUAAUAUAAUGGGCUUGUGGGCCUAAUGGCUCGGCCCACUGGCCAUCAAAUGGGCUCAUCCAAAAAGACAGGAAAAUAUUAGGACUUGAAUUAAACCAAUAAUUAACCGCCACUUGGUAAACAAUAACACGUUGGUCGGUUGUGAAACACGAAAAAGAAAAGUUGACUAAAGUGAUGACUUCUUCACAGAAAAAACCACUGUUCUAUGCUGUGUCUCCAUCCUAAUUUAAUUCCACUUCUAAUCUUAGGAAUUCGGAGAAAUCAAAGAUGGUGGCAAUUGCGUAAUACAUUCUUGUAUUUGAAGCCGCCGAUUAAACCGAAGCUCGUGACACUUUCAUUCAAAUGAAUAUUUGUCGCUGAGACAAAACCCUCUUUCUAUUACCAGGUAAAAAUUUUAUGUUCGAUUGCUUUCAACUUCUGCAUUUUUUUUUGAUGAUGGAGAGAAAAAAAAAACCCAUUUCUUGAUAAUCUAUUCCGGGGUUUUCGUGAUUGUUUUUGUUAUGUUGCUUUUCAAAUGGACAUGCUUUUGUUAACUCAAUCCGGUCUUGGUUUUUGCUUUGUAAGGAAAAUUUUGUCUCCUUCUGUUUUUUAUUCAUAUUGUGAUAAAGAACAAGAAUAUUUCUGCUCCUUUCGAACUCCUGAUUUGAAUUGAACAUUCUUUCAAGUGAGCUACCCACCAAAGAUUUGAUUACUUUCUCUUAACUGGAUUUGGAUCCAAUUAUGUCUUUGAUUCUGUUUGUCCAAAGGUUUAGUGGUUCUUGUUGCAUACUUUAGGACCGUAUUCAUCUUAUAAUAUGUAGUGGUUUUGAUUCUAUUUUGCUAUCUGAUUGUGCUGGUUUAUUUGCUUGCGCUUGUUAUUUCAUAAUCGUAGGUUGAAAUAGACAGGCGUUACUAAUAGUGUCCACCGAAAAUUGGGAAUUGCAUCAGUGUCCAAGACAUGGGAUCUCAAGAACCAAAGGCUGUAACUAUUAAUGUAACCGGAUUUAAGAAGUUUCAAGGGAUUGCUCAUAAUCCCACAGAAACUAUAGUUAAUAACCUCAAGAAUUUCGUUGAAAGCAAAGGGUUGCUGCCUGCUGGUGUUACAUUAAGGAGUUGCACUGUCCUUGAGACUGCUGGCAAUGGUGCUCUUCCCGUGCUUCUCAAGGUCUUGGAAUCUGGCAUCUCAGGGAUUGACACCAAAAACGAACUUGUUAUAUGGGUCAGUUCCUAUUAUUCAGCUUUAUUCAUGUCUUGAAAUGUACUCCUGUCUUGUAACAUGCCCGUUGAUCUAAUAGACCUCAAUUUUAUUGUGUCUUUAGCUUCACUUGGGGGUUGAUGGCGGAGCACAAAAAUUUACCCUCGAACAGCAGGCUGUAAAUGAAGCUUCUUUCUUUUGUCCUGAUGAACUAGGAUGGCAACCAAUGGUGGGUUAUGGAUGCUCUUCUGUCAAUCUUAACAAAUGUUUCUCUGUUACCCUAUUAAUAUCUAUAUCCUUGUGUUUAUUGUUUCCCUUUGAUGUCUGCAGCGACAGCCCAUUGUUACCGACGAUGGGGGAAUCUCCCGGAAACGACAGGUACUUUCUGAUCUGUCUGUACAUGUUAUUUAGAGUGCCUUUUACGAACCAUUAAUCAAAGAAACCUAAGUCGUGCCUACUGUCACCUGGUAGUACUUAUUGAGCAUCUUUAUUUAGUUGCAAUUACAGCUGAAAUAUUUAACACCAUUGAGGCUUUAUCUUUUUCAAAUAUUAGAUAUCAGCUGUUUCCUGUCUUCCCUUUUUGGAUACUGUGUUUAACAUAGUGAAUCUUUUGGUUCUUGCAGACGACUUGUUCCAUUGAAGCAAUCCUCAGGUUCUUAAAGAACAAGGGCUAUGCUGCGACGACAUCCAAUGAUGCCGGCCUUUUUAUAUGCAAUUAUGUAUACUAUCACUCUCUCCGGUUCGCCGAACAGAAGGGUCAUAAAUCUCUAUUUGUUCAUGUUCCCCUCUUCUCAACAAUCAACGAAGAGACACAGAUGCAAUUCGUCGCUUCUCUUUUGGAGGCCAUUGCAUCGACCUGCUAAACAUUAAAUGAUUCAAAUGAUAUAUAAUUAUGCUUUAUAUUUAUGCACGUAAUUCUCUGAUAUCACAAACUAUAAAAAAUGAUGGGACUUGGGAGCUUUCCCUUUGCCUCCCCACCACCCUUUCUCUCCACCAUUGCUCUUGCUUCACCUUUGUGUUUCUUGUGUGAACUGUAUUUGUUUAAGUGGGUUUUAUGCAAUGAAAUUAGCUGCAUUUGAACCUUGAAAUUUUGGAAAAGUAUGACAAGUUAUAAUGGGCAAGUUGCCAUUUUCUUGUUGACUGCGGUUAUUGGGUCGGUCGUGUGAUGUGAAUGUGGUUUUGAGACGUUUACUGCAAGCAAAGUACAAAGCCCUCGCGUUUAUUUAUCACUAUCAACCAGAUCUCAAGGUAAAGCUGCAAUCCAAUCCAUAUAUUGCAUUCAAAGUGAAAAAUGGAGUUUACGUUAUCUCAUAUCCAAGAAUGUUGGUUCAACUUUUCGGGAUCUACCAUGAUAGAAAAUUCCAAAUCAAAUAUUUUGUUUUUAUCUCGAUAUAUUUACUAGAAAGACUCAGUAUUAAUAAAAUUUGAAGUAAUAUUGUUUAAAUUGAACUGAUCAGUACAAGAGGAAGAAUUAAGAAUUGUUCAGAGCACCAUUUCCAUUAGAAAAAUUACAUCAAUAUAAUCUGAUUGAAUCAAGUUAAAAAUAAAUUGAAUUCAUAGAACAGAACAGAUUAAAAAUCGAUAAUCUAAUCAGUUACACCAUCAUAAAAACCUUAAUUUGAAUAUCAAGUUCAGUCGGUAAAAAAUAGCCCGGCCCGCCGGGAUGCAUCUUCCAUAGAUUCUUAUUUCUGUUGAUAGCUACUAAAUUGUGUGUAGAUGGCAACAUGAUCAGAAUGUUGCACGAUCGAUGAGGCUAAGUGGAUUUUUGUCGUUGAUACGUACGUUGCCAAUCUUGGCACAAUCGAAUUACAGGGCCUUUACAUCAUACCGUAAUAUAAACGCUGAUCUGGGUGUUUACUACAAAAACAAAACAAUUAAUGAAUUAAUCAGAUCCAGGCGUCUCGACGAUGCCCAGAACCUUUUCGAUCAAAUGUCUAUAAGAGAUAGCAUUACAUAUAAUUUGCUAAUUACUGGGCACGGUCGAUAUGGGAAUCCAAAGCAAGCACUGUAUAUUUAUAAGGAAAUGGUUUCACAGGAAAUCCAAGAAACUGGUCCUACAUUUUCGUCUGUGAUUACUGUUUGUGCGAAUGAGGGGUUUUAUAGAGAAGGUAUUCAAGUUCAUUGCAGGGUGAUUUCACUUGGGUUUGGAUUGAAUUUGUUUAUUGGGAGCUCACUUGUUAACCUAUAUUUUCAUAUGGGACUUGUUGAUGUCGCUUGGAAGUUGUUCGAUCAAUUGCCUGAACGGAAUUUAGCCGUAUGGAAUUUGCUGUUAAACGGGUUUUUGGAGCUUGGUAAAAUAGAGGAAUUAUUUGGGUUGCACGACCAAAUGAAAUGGGAGGGUGUCAAUCCAAAUGGACUUAGUUUUUGUUAUUUAAUUCGUGCUUGCUGUAAUGCGAGGUUUCUGGACGAAGGAAUGCAGCUGCAUUGUCAUGCGAUUAAAGCUGGAUGGGUGGAAUGCAAUGUUUUUGUUGCCAAUGCUUUGGUGGACUUUUAUUCUGCUUGUGGGAAUUUCAUUGAUGCUAGGAAAGCGUUUUUGUUAAUUCCUGUUGAAGAUGUGAUAUCAUGGAAUUCCAUCAUUUCUGUAUAUGCGGAGAAUGAUUUGUUGUAUGAUGCUAUUGAAUUACUUAGUAGGAUGCAUUUCUGGGAUAAAAAACCUUCAAUUCGUUCCAUUGUGGGGCUCUUGAAUUUAUCCAGUAGAAGAGAGGAUAUUCUGUUAGGGAGGCAAAUUCACUGUUUUAUAACAAAAGUAGGGUUUGAUUUAGGGAGUGUUCAUAUUCAGUCAGCGUUAAUUGAUAUGUAUGGAAAAUGUGGUGAAAUUGAAAGCUCUCUGUCUGUAUAUGAGAGGGCAUCUAAGAGAACUUUGGAGUGUUGUAACUCAUUAAUAACCUCCUUUUUGCACUGUGGUAUCACUGGUGACGUGUUUGAGAUUUUUGUUUUGAUGAUUGAUGAAGGAAUUAGGAUUGAUGAGGUUACUCUUUCUACGACACUAAAAGCAUUAUCACUGUCUACUUGGGCUAGUUUGGACAGCUGCAGACUGUUGCACUGCUGUGCUAUAAAAUCCGGUUAUGAAUCUGAUGUCGCAGUUUCAUGUUCUCUUAUUGAUUUGUAUUCAGGAUGUGGGCAUUUUGAACUCUCCCGCAAGGUUUUUGAAACCCUUCCUCUACCAAACAUCUUCUGCUUUGCAUCUAUAAUCAAUGGAUAUGCCCGAAAUGCUAUGGGCAAUGAAAGUGUCAGCCUGUUGGAAGCAAUGAUCCACAAAGGCCUAGUACCUGAUAAGGUGACAUUCUUAUGUGUUCUAAAUGGUUGCAACCAUGCAGGAUUACUUGAAGAAGGAAAGUUUGUGUUUAACUUGAUGAAAUCUUAUGGCAUUUGCCCAGAACGACAACAUUUUUCGUGUAUGGUAGAUCUUUUAGGCCGUGCAGGUCUAGUGUAUGAAGCUGAGGAGUUGCUGCAACAGUCACCAGGAGGGGGUGAUUCUGUAAUGUGGAGCUCAUUGCUGCGAAGUUGUAGGGUCCACAAGAAUGAAAUAGUGGGUAAAAGAGCAGCAAAAGUCUUGAUGGAGCUUGGUCAGGAUAGUUUUGCCAUUUAUUUGCAAGUGUCAAAUUUUUAUUCUGAAGUUGGGGAAUUUAAAGCCUCAUUACAAAUCAGAGAACUUGCCAUGGCUAGAAAGGUGAUGAGGGAGAUUGGUCACAGUUCAAUUGAGGUGAAGACUUACAGUUAACAUACUUUUCUUAUACUGCUAAAAUUUACCUCGCAUUGUCAUCCAGCUGGGAACUUUGGAACAGUGCUUGCUAGUCUGUUCCAGCAUUAUUUCCAUGAAAGUAAAACCUGUUUGUGAAAUCUUCAUCUUCUACUUAAAUCUUCUAAAGAUCUGUUGCUUUAGCUUGAAGCCUUGGCUUGUAACUGGAAAAGGACCCCUUUCCCUCCUGAUUCGCUAAUUCAAGUUUCUUUUUAAGGUACUGAUUGCCCCACAGAAUAUCCAUGCAUGCAUGCAUGGUGUUUUUUUUUUUUUUUCAUUUCUCAAUUUAUAAAAUAUGGUUCACUAAAUAAUAUAAAAUAAUACACUUUGUUGAUUCAUUUAUCCACUUCCCUGAGAAAUAUAGUGAGAGGGAUUUUACAUAAUCCAUUAACAUUUUGAUUGGUGAAAUGUUGCCUACUGGUUGAAGAGUAAAGCAAACAACUUAAAAAUAAAUUUACCCUUGUACUUCAAGUGUGGGCAUGUAGAAAAUGUAGCACCUUCAUCUACUUUUAAGCCAAGCCAUAUAGCCCACAAAGCUGCUCUUUUCCAAAACUAAUCUGCAUAUAUAAAUUAAACCAGUGCCUUAUUGGAUUUAUGCAACUCAAUCAAUCUUCCAAAUAGACAAAAAAGAACAAAUCAUGGAUAAAUUAUUCCUAGUUUCCUUCCUCGGUUUGCUGAUCACACAUGCAGUUGGCGGAAACAUGUUAUACGACAAAUUCAACAUACUUGGAGAGCUUGAAGACCUCGACAUAGCUGAAGAAGAUAUGGAACUCUUUGAGGGCCCAUCUUGGAUAAGUGAACGCGGUGGCAAGGUUCUUGUAAAUGUGGAUAGCUUUGGUGCGGUUGGGGAUGGAGUUUCUGAUGACACUGAGGUAUAUGCUUGAGAAUUUCUUUUGAGUCCCUUGCAAAUUACCUUGAUGGUUAUUUUAGGAAACAUUGAAAUUACAAGUUUUACUGAUAAAGAUUGCUAGGCAGUAAUUGGCAUUCUUGGUUUCUAUGGGUGUUUGAGACAUGACCCUUCUCAAGGAUUAGGCAAAUAGUUUUCUCUGAAUAUCAUUUUUUUACUAACUUAUGCCUUUGAUCUGAUCUGGGAAUUUAAACAUUUUGUGUAUUACUGUUUGGCCAAAUAUAUUUUCAUUGUCAUCAAAAUAAGCUAAUUUCUAAUUUGAUAGAUUGGCAUUUUGUCUUUCUGCAAUAUUUUAUCAUAGGCAUUUAGAAAAGCAUGGAACACAUCGUGCUCUACUUCAAAAUCAGUUCUCUUGGUUCCUCCUGGACGCCGAUAUUUAGUUAAUGCUACGAGGUUUAAGGGGCCAUGUGAAGAGAGGUUGGUUGUUCAGGUAAUAUCUAUGUACAUCAAAUUGAACUUAAAGAUAUAACAUCUCCAUUAUCUUAUAUCUAUGUUACAGAUUAAAUUAUUGCCAAUAUUGAUUCUAUGUUGAUAUCAAUUUUAACUUUAGUUGCUGUAGUUUUUUCUGUUUGUUAUCAUAUUAAUCAUUAUUGUUAUUAUUCAGAUUGAUGGAACAAUAGUAGCACCGGAUGAACCUAAUGACUGGGACGCAAAUCUUCCACGAAACUGGCUUGUUUUUUCUAAGCUGGAGGGAGUAGUUUUCCAAGGAAAUGGAGUUAUUGAUGGCUCUGGCAGCAAAUGGUGGGCAUCUUCUUGCAAAAAGAACAAGUCAAAUGUAAUUCCUUUGGAUUCUCUUUAAAAAUUCUUUCAUGCUCAAUUUACAAAUCAAACAAAUAGAAUAUUAACAUAUUUUUUCGUCUGUUUGCUUUUCCUUUGGCAGCCGUGCAGAGGGGCACCAACAGUAAGGACCUUUCUCCACAAUUAAUAAAUCAAUUAUGCUAAGCGAUGCUUCCAAUAAGCAGCAUGCCGAAAUUGUGCAAGUGAACUAUCAAAUGGAUCUCAAAUUAGAUUUAACAUAUGAGUUUGUUGCAGGCACUGACUAUUGAUUCAAGCUCAUCUAUUAAGGUAAAGGGUCUUACCAUUCAGAACAGCCAACAGAUGAAUUUCGUCAUUUCCAGGUGUGAAUCUGUUCGAGUAUCUGAAGUUCAAGUCUCCUGCCCAGGAGACAGUCCGAACACUGAUGGGAUCCACAUCACUGGGUCAACUAACGUCGUUCUUCAAGACAGCAAAAUAGGGACAGGUUCUUAAUCCUUGUCUUUUGUCCUUCCAUGCACCUGUUUUAUUGUGAAAGGAUACCUUUUAGAAAUUAUAUCACCAACAAUUAUAUAUGUGCAUACUGACUCGUUAAUUAUGGUGACCAUGCAUAUGAAAUUCAGGAGAUGAUUGCAUCUCAAUUGUUAAUGCUUCAUCUGGUAUCAAGAUGAAGAGAAUAUAUUGUGGACCAGGACAUGGAGUAAGGUGUGUUCUAGACUUCCAGUUAGAGCCUAUAAACAGCUGAUUGUGUCCUCAUCUACUUAGGAUACAGUGUAAAGUGAUUCUUAUAUCUUUUACUUCUUUGAUUUAAUUUGCUUCUUAGCAUUGGGAGCCUUGGGAAGGAUAACUCAACUGCCGUUGUCACAAAGGUGGUCUUGGAUACAGCACUCCUCAGGGAGACUACAAAUGGUGUCAGGAUUAAAACUUGGCAGGUAUUUUGAUGACAUAUAUAUUCUGAAUCUAGCACCAUGUAUUGAUAAGAAUAUGCAUUUAGUCAGUAUCAGGAAAGUAGAAAGUAAAAAGACUAUAAAGGGGCUUCAGUCGUCAAUACGUCAAUACCUUAAAAUAUCAAUAUUAUAGCACACUUAACAAUUAGAUGCUCUUUCUGAGUAAGAUAUGAAGCCUGAUAUUUUCUUCUUUGGGGAGGAAGCGGGAAAUGAGUGCCAUGGUGGGUUCAAUACAUGACUUUCUUUUCCCUGAAUAUGUUAAACACACAAUUUGACUUCAUCCCCCCCCCCCUUUUUUUCUCUCUCUCUAAAAGUUUUAAUACACAAUUAGUAUGUUCUUGUGGUUCUCUUAUAAAGGGUGGUUCCGGUUAUGUCCGUGGGGUGCGUUUUGAAAAUGUAAGGAUGGAAGAUGUUGCCAACCCCAUCAUUAUCGAUCAGUUCUACUGUGAUUCGCCGAAAACCUGCCAAAACCAGGUGCAUUAUCCAAAUUCUUGCCUGUCAUAUCUAAAUUUCUCAGUGUCUUUAGAUCAAAUUUGCAUCCUGAAUCUUGCAGGAGGUUCUCAGCCAAUGUGAACACUGAUCACAUGAUUCUUGUUCUUGUUUCUUGUUUUUUAGACAUCAGCGGUGCAAAUAAGCCAGAUUAUGUACAGAAACAUUAGCGGGACAACAAAAAGCAAGGAAGCAAUGAAGUUCGCCUGCAGUGAUACGACUCCCUGUAGCAAUAUAGUCCUCAGCAAUAUAAACUUAGAGAAGAAGGAUGGCACCGCAGAGACCUACUGCAACUCUGCUCAAGGCUUUGGCUACGGGAUCGUUCAUCCGUCAGCGGACUGUCUAAGUUCCAAUGACAAAGGCUAUAUUCUCAUUGAUCAUAAAGAAAAUUCUGAGCUUGCUGAACCGAGCAGAGAUCAUAUUGUUCACACCGAACUCUAAGCAACCCGUAAGGCAUAUCAAUAACACUGUUAUAGUAUAUCACUAUACAAGUAACUUAAAUAGAGCAGCAAGAGGCCCGAUAGAAGGUUUGAGGCACAUGUUAAAAUUUUUAUGGGAAAUUGCGGAUGUAAUUGAUGUUGUGCUCAAAUUGCAUUGAAACUAAUCCACACAUUAGCAAGGAUAUGUAAAAUGCGGCUUGUAUACAUUGCAGAAGAAACUCAAUUUAAUAAAAUUAUGUACUGAAGUUUUAGUUUUAUUUUUUUACGACUUUAUCCGACUUUCUGCAACAUGACACAAUUAUAUAACAAGAAGGCAUAUGGAAAAAUAAUUAAAACAUGACAUGAAAUAUGAUAAGAAAAAAUAACACAAACACAAUAUGAAUAUAUAAAUGUCUCUUAAUCUAUAUAUACAAAUUACUAAAGAAUUAAUGUUUAUAGAAGUAUAAAAUAUUAAAAAUAUACAAACAUAGCAUGAAUACAUGAAUUAUCAAUGAAAAAUAGAAUCCUUUCAAAAGAAGAAAUUUUGUAACUCCUUUUGACUUGUGUUACUUGGACUCGGAAUAUUCUUUUUUUUAAAUGUAUAUUUACAUAUCCAAAAAUAAUCCUUGCCACCACAUAAAACAAAGCUGCUAAGAUCAAUAUCCUACUCUUUGUUUUUGUCCAGAAUUUCAAUUUUUUUUCAGGUUUCUCAUCCCCUCUUAGACCUUUGGUAAAGGGUAUAUAAUAAUAUAUAAUAUAUACGUGACCUUAAAACUCAACCCAUUCGACUAUAUUAUGUGUUCGAUAUAUAUGCAUGUUUGGAUGUGGGAAAAUACACCAGAAAACAUGUGGCUCUUAAGAGAUCGAUCUAAGUGCUUGAAAUAGCUGAAACUGCAAAGACAAACAAGGACCACUGACCUCCAGAUCGACAAAUUUUCAACAAAAAAAGAACACAUAUAUAUUAUAUUAUUCUUUUAGGUGAUGAAUUAAAUACAGGCAUAAACAGAAAAAGGAAGGAAAAAAAAAU